UAACCGAAGAGGUGGUCUGGGCGGCCAUUAAAGAAAUGCCCAAUGACAAGGCUCCUGGCCCGGAUGGCUUCACUCGCAUUUUCUUUAAGAAAUGCUUCGACUCCCUUCGUACGAACAACUUGCAAUGGCUCAACUCGGCCAAUGUGAUCCUUCUGCCUAAGAAGGAGGGCGCAGAGGGCCUAUUAACCUCAUUCACACCAUCGCAAAAAUCAUCGCCAAGAUUUUAUCCCUUCGUCUUAUACCACACAUGAAUAUCCUAGUCUCCAACGCGCAGAGUGCGCUCAUAAAGAGAAGGAGCAUUCAUGAUAAUUUCAUGUAUGUUCACAACUUUGCGUGUCGACUACACAAGUGCAAGACACUGGCCCUCUUGUUCAAACUCGACAAUAAAAAGGCUUUUGACUCUGUCAUAUUGGAGUGCGUUCUGGACCUUCUGCAAUGCAUGGGGUUUUCUGGAUAAAUUCUGGAAUUGGAUUGUUGCACCACUCUCCUCUUCAUCCUCGUGUUUCCUCCUCAACGGUCUACCGGGUCCCCCGAUCAGGCAUGGAUGUGGCUUUCGCCAAGGGGUCCCUAUUUCGUUGCUCCUGUUUGUCCUUGCAAUAGAUGCUCUACACAAGAUUCUUGAACUGGUAAUGUGCAAGGGCAUCAUACAUAAGAUCCGAGGUCGAGGGGCCAUGGUGAGAACCUUCCUCUAUGCCGUUGGUGCUAUUGUUUUCAUGGAACCAAUUAAGAAUGAUAUCGACAAUUUAGUUGUGAUCUUAAAAGGGUUUGGUGACCUGACAGGCCUAUGUACCAACUUCCAUAAAAGUUCAGUGGUGCCCAUUUGAUACGUCAAUCUUGAUUUAGUGUGCAUCCUGCAUAGUAUCCCGGCUUCAAGGACGUCCUUUCCAAUCAGAUAUAUGGGCAUUCCGCUUCAGCAUGGCAGUUGAGGAGGGUUGACUUCCAAUGCCUAGAAGACAAGGCACCCGGGAAAUUGGUCACCUCGGACGGGAAAAACAUCACUACCAUUGGACACAUGGCCCUCGUUCGUCCUGCCAUCACCUCACAGGUUGUGUACUCCAUCACACCCCUCAUUGUACCACAGGGCUCCCUCAACAAUCUCAACAAGAUUGAGCGGCCAUUUCUGUGGUCCCGCUCGGAUAAAACUACCGGUGCAAAAUGCAAAGUCAACUGUGACAUUGUAUGUCGACCCCCAAGCUAUGACGGCCUAGGUGUUCUAUACACCGACAAGUUUGCUCGUGCCUUGUGACUGAGAUGGCUAUGAAUGGAAGGAACCGAGCAAACUGCGGGUGGGGCUAGGAAACCCUUGCACUGAGAGGACCACGAUUUCUUUUAUGCCUCCACUAUUAUCAUCAUGGGCAAUGGGGCCAAAACACCUUUUUGGGGCUCGCCAUGGCUGCUUGGUCGCAAACCUAAGGAAAUUGCUCCCCACAUUUUUUAGGCCUUGAGGAGAAAGAACUGGAAGGUGCACAAGUCGCUCAAGGAGAAUGCUUGGAUGCUCAGAAUCAGAAGAGACACCGUCAUCACAGGCCACCAUGUUCGGGAAUUUUUUACCCUCUCGAUGCUCAUUCACGACUUCCAUCUCAACGAGCACUCCAAGGAUGACGUUAUAUGGAAACAUUCUAUGGAUGGUUCAUAUUCGACAUCGACCGCGUACAAGGUGUGGUUCCUUGGGUUGGCGCUCUCCCUCACAGACUUCAUAGUUUGGAAGGUGUUGGCGCCCCCGAAAGUAAAAUUCUUCGCAUGGUUCGCCCUGCAAGAUCGGAUUUGGACCGUCGGUCGGCUUGCGCGGCGUGGUUGGGCUAACCGUGGCUUAUGCCCUCUCUACAAACGGGAACAAGAGACGGACAUCCACCUCUUCGUCAAAUGCUGCUUCACUACUAGGCUUUGGCAUUUGAUCAUCGAUAAAUAUGGUCUACACUUUGCGUAGUUCCUUUUGAAGUGGUGGGAUAGGCGAACCAACUCGAGCAACCCUAAUCGGCGAACCAACUCGAGCAACCCUAAUCGACGUGCCGUGACUUCUUUCACCAUAGUGGUGUCAUGGACAAUAUGAAAUGAGAGGAACGUUAGGGUGUUCCGCCAUAAAAAAUACGACAGGGCAAACCUUUAGGUUACGACGGGGGCAAAGAAACUAGGAAAAAAUGUACUACGCGAGUAAUUGUCAUACCGUUAUUGCGGUGUUUUUAUAACACUACGUAACUCUAUUCUCCUCUCAUUUAAUCGAUGAGACAAAUGACAAAUGUUUUACCUCCGUUUUGAAGAAAAAAAUGCACUUUUCAGUAGAAAAAAAAUAUGAUAAUACAUAGUAGUAACGUAUCGUAUCCAAAAUUACCCUAUGCAUGCAGCCGCUAAUACACAUCACAAACAAUCUGGCAUUGUGCACCUGCUACGGUCUACACGCACUGCAGUCUACAGGUACAGUAGCAGAAGGACGCGCCACCGCCUACCGUUUUCCGUCUUCAGCGCUCAGGGAGGCGUUCUUAUUGUUACUGCAGACUUAUUCCACUAACUGUGUUGUACAGAAUAAUCACCUGCCUCCUCGUCCAUAACGUCCAGCUUAACUUGAGGUUGGUCCACCCGUCAGUGGCUGGUCGCCAGGGCAGUAACCAGUAGGCCGAAGACGAAGAAUGGUUGCGCGCUCGCCUGCGUUCAAGCACAGUAGUAAGAUGGUGGCAGCGUUAAGCUUGCAGUUCUGGAACGGGGCACGGAUCGGACAGGAAGAAAGAUAAUGCAUGCGAGAGACGGCGACCGACGAGCGGCGCACCUGGUAUUUGACGUCGUACUUCACAGGGUCCUUCAGGAAGUACUGAAACUGCUCCAGGAAAUUAAGGAUUAGAGUGUACAGAACAUAAGUGGGAACGGUUCAGAUUGUUCAGCAGGCAAAAUCGUCUAUAGUUUUCAUGUUCUUAUAAGAGCUAUAAAGGCCAGUCUGACAAGCCAUGCAGUUGUAGAUAAUUCUGUUGUUCAUAACUCCAAACGAUUUCAAUUAUUUGGUUUGAUGGCGUGAAUAGGAAAUUUCUGAAAAAGGGGAGCAUGUUCUGAAAUACAACGAGAAAUGAUAAUAUCCAAGGUCCAAAAAGAUUGGUCAGCUCACCUGCAAGAUCACCUGGGGAAUUGUCAGUCCAACUAGUGCCAAGGCAUAAUACAGCUUGCCAGUACUCAGGAGGUAGGCUAAAAAUGGAGUUACAAGAUUAGGUAGGCUGAAAAUGGAGUUACAAGAUUAUGAAGUUCCCAACAUAAAUUCGGAUAGAUAGAUAGAUAGAUAGAUAGAUAGAGAGAGAGAGAGAGAGAGAUAAUGAACGUAAGUUUCCUGUGAUCCCUAAUUUAUAGAACAAUUCAGGCACUCUUGUUUGUCUCAACUAAAACAGAGAAAAUAGUUAUACUACGGCAAGCUUUGGGUGCAGUUUGUCUUCAUCUGAAAAUUUCUGGUAAUGCUCAACAACUCUUCUUUUUUUUUUGCAUUAAACACAUCUUAUGUUACUAUAGCUAACAGUAACUGUGUUCCAAGGUUCGGUGAAAGCUUCCAUCAUUAGGUUGAAAAUUUGAAGUGCGACCCAUUCCUUUUUAGGCAAACAGUAUGAUUCUUUUCACAGCUAGCACAUGACAGUUGCAUAAAUCCAUGAACCACUUAAUCAUAUGUAAAGGAAAUGACUUAAGUAAGUCUUGAAGGAAGAAAGAUACGGCAAAACUGUGUCUUUACCUGCAACAGAUAAUUGAGUGAUGUCGAUUGCUCCAACACAUAUCCAUUUUGCAGUGUCCAUACCAAAAGCAACAGGAAGUGACUACAAAAAGGUAAAAUGGUAAACAGAUAUGCUGUGACAACAAACCUAAAAUACAGAUGGAAAGAAUAAUAACCUGAAGUCCCAGAGUUCUAUCCCCCUCAAUACUCUUAAAAUCAUUUACGAUGGCAAUCCCUAGCUACAAAGCCAGGAAAAACAGUCAGCGGUCAUGAUCGCAUACAUGAUUGCAAACAAGCAAACAGAUCAUGAAAUAUAAAUACCCCAGCUAUGCUGUACAGAGUAGUUAGGACAACAAUAUCAGGAGUAAGAGUUCCAAAUAACGCCUGGCCAGCCCACCUGCACAAAAGAGAUGGGGAUUUUACGGUAACUUAGAAGAGUAAUUCUGGUUCUAGAAUCCUAAUAUGGAGUUCAUCUUGCCUAAUAAUCUCGAUGCACCUUAUAUAGUUUAGCACAAACGGUACCGUGAGCCUCAGGCCACACGUGCACUUCAGAUGGAAAGUGGUAGUGGUGUAUGCCUUGGAGCCAAGUGAAUUGUCUGAUGCACAUACCACGUGGUAUUUGCUUGAGUGUUAGAUAAAUGUUAUUAAAUAACUUCGGUAGUCAAUCACUAAACUACCAAGAGCUUUGAAGUAAUGUAUGCAUAUUCCUGCAGAUCACACAACCUCGAGGCUAAAGGAAAGUUGAAGAACUUGGGCUCAAAUUGGUCAUCAUGGGAGAGAGAGGGAGAGAUCUGGUUAUGGAUUUGUGGUUCCUCAAUCACGGGCUAGGGUUGUGAGGGUUGGUAAGUGACAGUUGUGAUGGGACUGAAUGCAAUAUAUUAUCAUUAACGUAAGUACAAUCCUUUCUAGUACUUGGUGUUGUAGUCUGAUAAAAUCCAAACUAAUUUGUCCAUUAAAUUGAAAAAAUAAUGGACAGUCCACAAUAUUUUGUGGCUACCAUAAAUGAGUCAAUAUAUAUAGAUGCAUCUUCUUACAUAUAAUAGUAUGGGUGACAUCCAACAGAACAUUGUAUAUUCAACAUGAAAAAAAAAUAUUCACAGCUUUGAUCAUACCAGGGCAAGCCAAUGUAACUCGCACCAAGAGCAAAGUUUCCUAUCCAUCCGUUCUGCUUGAGCUGAAAUGCGUAAUAAUAAAAAAUGAACAUUUUGUUAUCAAAGAGUUCAUGGCACAUAGUGUACUAUGCUAAAACAAGAUGCAGAAUGCAUAGAACACAAGUAUUAAGUACCUUGAGAGGCGGUGCUGAAUAUAUGUAAGAAAGCAAGGACCCACCCAGAGCAAGGUAAAAAAUAAUAGGAAAAUCAUGCCCUGCCUGAAAUGAAACAAGAGAAUAAGCAAAGAAAGAACACAUCUUCAACCUCUUAGUAUACUAAAGUGAGUCUUUUCGAGACUUACCCAUACGUCUAACAAAGCACCCAACCCAAGACCUGCUAACAAUAAUACCCAGAUCUGAGUAAUUACCUGGAUCAAAUCAACAUCAUUAGUAAGACAUGGCAAUUCUCAGUGAACGUCUGACAUCAGCCUUUAGAAUUAGAUCGGACGAUCGGAAGCUCGUCAUUAUCACGAAACCAAUUUGGUUUGGAACGUUCUGCAGUAGUUUGUAGCAAUACAUACUUCUCAUCAUCUCAAAGGAAAACAAAUCCCCUUGGAUAAAAAGGUCAAUCUAAAAAUGGGGUUUCAAAGAGUAAAAGCACAACAAUUUCAAGCAAAGUAUCACAUCAAUCAACCGGCCAUCUAGAUGACCGCAGACUCUAAUAAGAACAGAACCCGCAUGAUUACCAUUAAAACGAAGCAAUGAUGGGGACAGGCAAGUUAUGCGUUCUGAUGUUCUGAGAAAAAAAAAAGGAAAAUGAGGGUGAGCCCUCAGCCUCUGGAUCGAUUGAUGCAUUCAGCCAUCUUUAUUAAAAAGGUUAUUGUACAGUAUCUUGCUCCAAAAUAAUAUUAAAUGAUACAACGGUAUAUUUUAAAUGAGAGAUGUUGGACUUUUGACAUGAAAAAUGCAUUGUCUAUUGUUGAUAAUGACCUUAAAACGUAAAGACAAAGUCCCUGUGCAGCGUUCUAGCAUCCUAAGAAUUGAUGUCUCUUAUCCAUGUACCAUAACUGGAUAAUACUGCAAAUAAAAAGGGUCAACUUAUGAUACAAAUAUGCUUACUUAUUGAAAGAAUAUAAACAAGUACAUGUGAAAACGAAUAAGAAAAAGGAUAUAUAGACACAGAUAACUAAACUUCUUGUGAGCAUGCGGUACAUGGUUAUGACAGCGAUAUAUUUGAGAUGUCUGCUUAACAGUUAUAGAAGUCAUAAAGCAUUCUCUAACAAAAAAAUUGGAAAGGAAAUACUAGGAUAUUCUACAGUGGUUGUUUUAUGAAUAAGGAAGGAGAAACAAUAUGACACGUUGCUCAAAAGAUAAUGUUCUCUAGAGUCUUAGUCAAGAUCAUAUUUUCUUGAUGAUGCAAUAAACUUUGUAAUAAGUGUGGCUGCAUGCAUCUAUGAUGCAGCGGCUGGGGGUAACAAAAGCCUCCGUUAUCUAAAAAAAGUCCUCAAAAAAUAAGAAAUCAACAAGUUCCUUUUAUGCAUGUAGAAUCUACUAACAGAAGCAUGUUGGAUUUCACCCAAGGAUCAAUCACAUUAAAAAUCACCAACACAUGUGCACGAAAAUCUGUUCGUCAGGCGUGCAUUGUGUUUCUUUUUUUUAUUUAUUUCCCGGUCUAGCAUGCAAUCUCACAACCCUUUUGCACGUAUAUAUAGGACCAGAGCUAGGACCUACUCGACUUAGGUGACUUAGCAGUUAGCACAACUCGGACUCAAAUUACUACUGAGUACUCACCAAGACGUAGACCUAUACUCAUAUCCCACGCAACUAGCACCAAGGCAUAGAAACCAACUCCAAAACACGCCCGCUAGAAAACUAAUCGGACCAAUAUUACUUAGACUUACUGCAAGCAAACACAAACCUGAACAUAAUUCAACCGGACUGCAUUAGAGGCAAUAUUGUUUCCAACAAUGCAUGCACACACAUGUCCAAGUAGUCAGAUAUCAAGAUCAGUGUUUGUUCGCUAUUAAUUGCAUGAUGAGUUAAAGAUGGAUCUAGUGGUAUGAUGACAUGGUUCACAUUUUAAGCUCAUUGGUUAUUACAAUACAGUAAUCUCACUCCCGAAGACGGUCAUACCUCAUUUUCUGAUAUAGCUCCAGAAGGAAUAGGACGAUAAGGCUCAUUAAUAGCAUCGAUGUCUCGGUCGUACCAGUCAUUAAUUGUCUACAAGCAAUAGUUUUUGAAACUGACAUAUUCUUUAGUACAAAUAGUUUUCCAUGAAACAAUAUGUGAGGUUAUAAAAUAUGAAUAGAACAAACACAAUGAAUAUAGAGUAAACCUGCGUGUAUCCUGUAAGACAUGGACCCGACAUUAGCAUGCAAACAAUAGAUUUUGCAACAUCUUCAACUGUCCAGUGGAAAUUUCCUAAAACAUGAGAAGUUCAAAUAAGCAUAAGCAAUUGAGCAUAGUAGUUGCAUUGUAUGCCAAGAGGGACAUCAUUCAUGAGCACAGAAGCCGUGAUGGUAUUGUAUUUUCAUCCUAAACCCUAGAAGUUCUAGACAUCGGGCAAGAAGGGAGAAGAGUAUUGCUGAGUUUCCAUGUGUUGUUUUGUUGCAGAAACUGGGUGAAGUUUCCUGUGUACUCCAAAAUCAAUAUUCAUCCUAAAUCAAUAUUCAAUUCUUUGGCCUAUUCCAAAAUAAAUAAAUGUGACUAGGGAUAGUGAGAGAAUAUAUUGUAAGCCCACAGAGCAUAUCAACACCAUUGCUCAAAAUAGGUUUUCGCCCGCUUUAUAAAUAAAGCCACACGGCCGAACGACCAUUGCAAGCCAGCACAAGUGCACAACUUAAAUCGCCCGGUCAAGAAAUUCUUUGCUGCAGAGGAAUGUAGCACAAUAUAUCAACGAUGCGCCGCAUAUGGAAAAAUACAGUUGUCCAACUCCACUUAAGUAAAAGAAAAGAAAAACAUGUACAGAUAAAAUCAUAAUAGGCGAUAAAGCAUACCGGAGGCAGCUGCUCCACAAAGCACUCCCCAGACAAGCGGAGGCCAUGUCACUGGCUUAGUAAGUUGAAGACGGAUCUUCCAUAUGUUCUAUAUGCAGCAUGAUAAAGAGGGGGUCAAUAAGCAAAGUAUCAUUUCUAGUCCCUACAUAAAAAUAGCUACAUAGCGAUUCGUAUGAGCUCAAAGCUAGUGUUAUACAAUGCUCGCAUGUCAUCAUAAGCAGAAAUUGCAUAGAACAUACUUCUCAAGAGAAGGUGGGAUUCAUAAAUUUCAGCAUCCACAGACAGACAUAUGCCCGACCAACACAUUGGCUGCAUGCUGAAUCCCCAAUUCAACACAUGCCCGACCAACCAACCAACUAACAAACCACUCCGAUUUGGAUUCAUAAAUAUGUCCAGUUCACGGGAACAGAUUAAUGACUCACGUCUUCUUGCUUGGCGCCCUUAAUUCCGAGCAGCUGGUUGAAGCUCGACCCUGCCGCCGGCGCCUUCUCCGGGACCUUCGGCUUCGUUGCUGCCGCGCCCAACCCACCAAAACAAAUCACGCAUUAGAACCUCAACCGAAACGCCCGGGAAUCAAUCACAGAACAAGCUGAACUUCAUAAGGAAGGGGCGCUCACUUUCUUUAGCGUCGGCGUCGGCCGCGCAGACCACUGGGAACGGCCGCCGCCCUGCGAACGGAACUCAUAUGCAUCAGCACAACACGCGGCAGCAUACACACACAGUAAAAUAAUAAGCGAGAGAGAGCAAGAGGGGUACGGCUGAGGGUUAGAGAAGGAGGCGGUAGGGAGAGGAAGCGGAGAGGGGGGCGGAAGGCGGUGGAGGAGGAAGAUGUGGCGGCGGCGGCGGCCAGGAAGUGGGAGGUGGCCAUGGGGAAGCGGAGAGGAGGAGCCAGCCGCUAGCUGUUUGGACUUGGGAGUGGACAGUGGGAAGUGUGGGAGGGGAGGAUAACGCCGGCGCAGUUCGUGCCUGUUGGCCGGCUUUGAUUCGGAGGACAGUAAAAAAAUGUGGGGAUUGAAAUGUUAGAGCAUCUUAAACAGAUUUAUGUAAAAGUUGAUUGGACAUUACACAGAGGUUGCGUCAAUUAAUUUAGACUAGCAAAACGGUCCGUGCGUGUAAUGGAUAGUAAAGAUUUCUUACCUGAGACGUUAUUAUUUUGAUCCAAUUUUGAUUCUGACUCGUCAUAUUUUGAUCCAGUAAUGUUACACGUACAUAAGUUUACAGGGGUUUUACAAGCAAGUGAAUUUUGAUUAGAGAUUAAGGGGACGGGCCCCAUUGGGAAAGGUUAGUUAGGAUGAAAAAAAUCCUAGUCAGUGUGUAACCUUUAUAAGUCUUUGUAUGUUUAGCAUUUUUUAUGUGCACCCAUGAGACCAUUCAGGUAUCAUUGAUGUGGUAUUGUUCGACAUUGAGGAGGCCGUGUUUAUAAAUUAAUUAUAUUUAAUAAAGCCUAAAUGUAUAUCCAUCAUAUGCAAUAGAUGAACAUAAAUGAAGAUUGUAUUUAUCAAUUCAAUUGUUAUCUUCAAACAAAAAAUCCAACUAUUAACAUUCAAUUACCAUCGGAUGAAUAGUUCAGAUGUUUUUAAAAUAAACAUUCAUGUACUUCUGAUAUUCAUCAAUUUUAUAAGUGAAUGUAUAAUCUAUAAAAAUUAUUUGUGUAUUCACCAUAAAAAAAGUGUAGUCCGUUGGUAAAAACGUGCGUGGAUUCUGUCAAAAAAGGACACGUACGUAAGGUCUUAGAUUAUAAAAUAUGUAUAAAGAAAGAACCUAGUACAAGUACAUCAUGUUCAGAGAUUAUAACAUUUCCAAAUAUUAACGCUUAAGUCGUCGGUACGAAAUAAAGACAAAUAUUGAUUAACAUUGUAUCCUAUAUAGUAUUUUAAAAAUACUUAACAUGUAAAAUAACAACAUAUUCAAACUGUACACAUUUUUCUAAUCAAAUUUUAUAUAUAACAUGUUUAAAUUGGAUUGACGGUUUGAAAGAUAUUGUUAUUCGAAAAUAUAUAUUUAUUCUGAAUAGACUCCGGAGUUAUUAACGCAUAUGUCAGGGGGUUUACAUAAAAUUUUACAAAAAAGAUUCACGCUGAAUAAAUUUGGACCGCGGAUUAUUUAGCAUAAAAGUAAGGGGUCUUGUGUAAAAUGCAAAAAAAACGGUUCGGUCUCACUUAUAAACGGACUGCGGGUUAAUUAACGAAAAUGACACGGACUUUUCUGCAAAAACGCCACGACGUACGACGGGAAUCAGUAUUUGCUUUAUUAUUAAAUAGAGAUUAAAGGAAGUACCUGAAAUGGUUUUAUGUGUGAAAAAAGAAGGUUUUUAGGCACACCAAAUCUACAGUAACAGAUGAUAUGAAAUUCAUACCAUGAAACUUCCAAACUUAAGCAUCGUUCAUUGUACAUUUUAAAAAAUCACCAUUAUUAGACAUAACGAUAUCACUUAAAUAAGUAUAAGGGUCGCGAUAUUUAUCACAUGUGUGGCAUCUAAGGGGUGCUUGUCGCACGUUUCGUGUGGUAUCUACGCAGAACAGCCCGCACGCGCACGUCUCGCGUCCCACUUAGGUGCUUGCACGCCCGGGUGUGUCACCCUGCGGUGCGCACAUCCGGGCGUGCCACCCCACGGCCCGCACGACCAACAAUUCUCCCUCCCCGAGAACUAGAGUAGGUCCCCGCGCGAAAGAGUUGUUGGAAAUAUGCCCUAGAAGCAAUGAUAAAUAGUUAUUAUUACAUUUCCUGUUUAAAGAUAAUCGUUUAUUAUCCAUGUUAUAAUUUAUUGAAUGAAAGCAUAGAUACAUGUGUGGAUACAUAGACAAAACAAUGUCCCUAACGAGCCUCUAGUUGGCUACGAGUUGAUCAAUGAUAGACAAGGUUUUCUGACUAUAUGCAAGUGUUGUCACUUGAUAACUGGAUCACAUCAUUAGGAGAAUCAUGUGAUGAACUAGACACAAACUAUGAACGUAGCAUAUUGAUCGUGUCGUUUUAUUGCUAUUGUUUUCUGCGUGUCAAGUAUUUAUUCCUAUGACCAUGAGAUCAUAUAACUCACUGGCACCGGAGGAAUACCUUGUGUGCAUCAAACGUCACAACGUAACUGGGUGACUAUAAAGGUGCUCUACAGGUAUCUCCAAAGGUGUCUGUUGAGUUAGUAUAGAUCAAGACUGGGAUAUGUCACUCCGUUUGACGGAGAGAUAUCUCGGGGCCCACUCGGUAAUACAACAUCACACACAAGCCUUGCAAGCAAUGUGACUAAGUGUAAGUCACGGGAUCUUGUAUUACGGAACGAGUAAAGAGACUUGCCGGUAACGAGAUUGAAAUAGGUAUGCGGAUACCGACGAUCGAAUCUCGGGCAAGUAACAUACCGAAGGACAAAGGGAAUGACAUACGGGAUUAUAUGAAUCCUUGACACUAAGGUUCAACCGAUAAGAUCUUCGGAGAAUAUGUAGGNNNNNNNNNNNNNNNNNNNNNNNNNNNNNNNNNNNNNNNNNNNNNNNNNNNNNNNNNNNNNNNNNNNNNNNNNNNNNNNNNNNNNNNNNNNNNNNNNNNNNNNNNNNNNNNNNNNNNNNNNNNNNNNNNNNNNNNNNNNNNNNNNNNNNNNNNNNNNNNNNNNNNNNNNNNNNNNNNNNNNNNNNNNNNNNNNNNNNNNNNNNNNNNNNNNNNNNNNNNNNNNNNNNNNNNNNNNNNNNNNNNNNNNNNNNNNNNNNNNNNNNNNNNNNNNNNNNNNNNNNNNNNNNNNNNNNNNNNNNNNNNNNNNNNNNNNNNNNNNNNNNNNNNNNNNNNNNNNNNNNNNNNNNNNNNNNNNNNNNNNNNNNNNNNNNNNNNNNNNNNCCGCUAUUGGAUAUUGAUCGAGGAGUACAUCGGGGCAUGUCUACAUAGUUCUCGAACCCAUAGGGUCUACACACUUAAGGUUCGAUGAUGUUUUAGUAUAGUUGAGUUAUAUGUGUGGUUACCGAAUGUUGUUCGGAGUCCCGUAUGAGAUCACGGACGUCACGAGGGUUUCCGGAAUGGUGCAGAAACAAAGAUUGAUAUAUAGGAUGGUUUCAUUUGGUUACCGAAAAGUUUCGAGCAAUUCCGAAAGUGUAACGGGAGUGACGAAUGGGUUCCGGGAGUUCACCGGGAGGGGCCCACCCACCCGGGAGUGAGCCCAAGGGCAUAGGGUGGCGCCACAAGUCCCUAGUGGGCUGGUGGAGUCAGCCCAAGGGGCCCAUGGCGCCACUUAUAGAAAUACCAAAAAGAAAAAAAAGGAAAAAAGGGGAGGUGGGAAGGAAGGAGUGGACUCCUUCCCGAAACCGAAUUGGGGUGGGAGUCCACCUCCCCCUUGGCCGGCGCAGCCUCCUCCCCCCUCUCUCCUAUAUAUAGUGGUGAUUUAGGGCUGAUCUGAGACAACUUUUGCCACGUGCAACUCAGAUCUAGACACCAUAGUUUUACCUCUAGAUCGUAUUUCUACGGAGCUCAGGCGGAGCCCUGCAGGAGUAGAUCGUCACCACCACCGGAGCGUCGUCACGCUGCCGGAGAACUCAUCUACUUCUCCGUCUUGCUUGCUGGAUCAAGAAGGCCGAGAUCAUCGUCGAGCUGUACGUGUGUUGAACGCGGAGGUGUCGUCCGUUCGGCACUAGAUCGGAACGGAUCGUGGGACGGAUCGCGGGACGGUUCGUGGGGCUGAUCGAGGGACGUGAAGACGUUCCACUACAUCAACCACAUUUCUUAACGCUUCCUGCUGUGCGAUCUACAAGGGUACGUAGUUCCAAAUCUCCUCUCGUAGAUGGACAUGACCAUGAUAGGUCUUCUUGUGCGUAGGAAAUUUUUUGUUUCCCAUGCAACGUUUGCCAACAAGAGUGGCCACCCCGCGGACCAAAAUCUUGCUUAACCCUCUUUUGUCUCCCACCUCCCAAUCGACAGUCUUCCCCUACCUCCUUCCUCGUGGUUCACAAAUUUCCAUGGCAACCACAGCAAAACCCUAGCGACGCCUGGACGAAAAACACGACAACGAAUUCCACAAGGUGAGAAACCUCAUGGAUUCGGCCGUUCUCCUCUCCCCUCCCCUUAGAAAUUUUGCAUCAAAAUUGCCAACAUGGAUCCGAGUUGUCCUAGAUUUUUGCCACAUUGAUCCAAAACCUCAUGGAUCCGGUCGUUCUCCUCUCCCCUCCAAAAUCAACGAAAUUGUGAUCAUGUGUCCUAGGUUUGAUCUGCAUAUUAGUUGCCAUCAAGUCCGUAGAAGCUGGAAAUUUCAAGUUGCCAUCAAAUUGACCUACUCAAAAGUAAGAUCAGAUGCAUUUAGAAUCAAAGGGAGGGCGGGGAAAGAGGUGAGUAUGGGAGGGCAAGCCAAAGGAGACUUUUUCAUUUGGAGAUUGUGUCGGGGGGAUAACCCCGGGGUAGGCUCAUCAAGCCUAUUCCUUCAUUUCCGGCCCAAUGGACAUGAACGUAUGAAGAUUCCCAAGGCCCAAGUCUUCUGGCCGGCUAGGCAUCACCUGCCGGCUAGAGGACGAGGCGGCCACCUUUCUGGCUGGCCAGGCAACCCCUGCCGGCUAGAAUCCUAGCGGCCUCCUCUUCGGGGCCGGUCUGGUCCCGCCAGCCGGACUAGGGAGGAGGCGGCCACCCUUAAGCCGGCUGGCCAAGCAGGCUAACCGGCCGAGGAUCACAAGUCACAUCAGAUCGUAGGUCAGGAAGAGACCUCACGAUUAAAGGUAGCUACACGUCAGCAAAGGUACAGGAUCAGGGCGCCCGACAGGUACGAGCGUCGGCGGCCACGCCGCUGACCUACCCCGGCUUUGAUCCAUCACCUAGCAUAGUGUCGGACCAUCACACUCCCACUCCAUUACUGCACUCGGCAUGGGGAACAGUGGAGGCGGUCGUACUACCUGCCCAUGAAGAAUCUCGCGGGGCGACGCUUGACGUACAACGCGUGCUCAGCGUCAACCUUACGCGAGAGCCUCAUUGGCCAGCCGGCGGGUCCCACAGGCAAUCGAGACCAUGCAGCCGGCGGGCCCCUCAUCGACAAGACAAGACCCUUGUGGGCCCCUGGCCAGCCGGCGAAGCAGCCAGCCGGGUCCCACACUUGUACCCUUUAUCCAUAUUGUAGGCCGGCGGGUUCGUCUAUAAAACCCCCCGGUCGCCGCCCAUGCAAGGGGGCCGAUCUUUCACCAGUCAUUCAACACAACACACUCACCAACCACAGAGAGAGAGGUAGAGAUGAGCCGGCUGCUCCCCUCUUCCUCCUACCAACACAGCUCCAGGAGCGACAUUGUACUCUGUUCCGAUACAUCAAACACUCCGGCAGGAUUAGGGGUAUUAUCUCUACGGAGAGCCCUGAACUUGGGUACAUCGUGCGUCCCAUGCGUGUACCAACCUCGUUCCCAGCGCCCACCUUUGUCCCUUCGGUUCUCACCGACUUUAGCCUACCCAUGGCAUAUGUUGUGAGUAUUCACCGACAUUUGGCGCCCACCGUGGGGCCGAUCGCGGCAUCGGCUGGCUUUACGCGCUGGGCGGGGCCCCGCACCUACACCACCGGAUGCAUCGCGUCCGGAUCAGUUUGCAUGCCCGUGGAGCCCGCUUUCGACGAGGCGACACCCAUGAUGAUCGAUGUCCCCGUCCGCCAUGCUGAUUCGGACGAAGAUUCUGAUGACGAGGCGCUCCCUAGCGUCGUCGUCGCUGCUAUGGAAAACCUCAGCGUUCUCUUCAGCGACCUUCGUCUCAACGACGAACCGCGCUACUUCGGCGAGGACCUCGACGUUGAGGCGCUCUGCGCCAGCUUCAGCAGGCUCUCUAUCGCCGAGAUGCCUGCCCACGAUGUUUACCCCAGUAACGUCCUCAUCUUCAACGACCCUUCUGUUGGAAAUAUGCCCUAGAGGCAAUAAUAAUUAGUUAUUAUUAUAUUUCUUUGUUCAUGAUAAUCGUUUAUUAUCCAUGCUAUAAUUGUAUUGAUUGGAAACACAAUACUUGUGUGGAUACAUAGACAAAACACUGUCCCUAGUAAGCCUCUAGUUGACUAGCUCGUUGAUCAAAGAUGGUCAAGGUUUCCUGGCCAUAGGCAAGUGUUGUUACUUGAUAACGGGAUCACAUCAUUAGGAGAAUCAUGUGAUGGACUAGACCCAAACUAAUAGACGUAGCAUGUUGAUCGUGUCAUUUUGUUGCUACUGUUUUCUGCGUGUCAAGUAUUUGUUCCUAUGACCAUGAGAUCAUAUAACUCACUGACACCAGAGGAAUGCUUUGUGUGUAUCAAACGUCGCAACGUAACUGGGUGACUAUAAAGAUGCUCUACAGGUAUCUCCGAAGGUGUUCGUUGAGUUAGUAUGGAUCAAGACUGGGAUUUGUCACUCCGUAUGACGGAGAGGUAUCUCGGGGCCCACUCGGUAAUACAACAUCACACACAAGCCUUGCAAGCAAUGUGACUUAGUGUAAGUUGCGAGAUCUUGUAUUACGGAACAAGUAAAGAGACUUGCCGNNNNNNNNNNNNNNNNNNNNNNNNNNNNNNNNNNNNNNNNNNNNNNNNNNNNNNNNNNNNNNNNNNNNNNNNNNNNNNNNNNNNNNNNNNNNNNNNNNNNNNNNNNNNNNNNNNNNNNNNNNNNNNNNNNNNNNNNNNNNNNNNNNNNNNNNNNNNNNNNNNNNNNNNNNNNNNNNNNNNNNNNNNNNNNNNNNNNNNNNNNNNNNNNNNNNNNNNNNNNNNNNNNNNNNNNNNNNNNNNNNNNNNNNNNNNNNNNNNNNNNNNNNNNNNNNNNNNNNNNNNNNNNNNNNNNNNNNNNNNNNNNNNNNNNNNNNNNNNNNNNNNNNNNNNNNNNNNNNNNNNNNNNNNNNNNNNNNNNNNNNNNNNNNNNNNNNNNNNNNNNNNNNNNNNNNNNNNNNNNNNNNNNNNNNNNNNNNNNNNNNNNNNNNNNNNNNNNNNNNGAUCUUCGUAGAAUAUGGAGGAUCCAAUAUGGGCAUCCAGGUCCCGCUAUUGGAUAUUGACCGAGGAGUCACUCGGGUCAUGUCUACAUAGUUCUCGAACCCGCAGGCUCUGCACACUUGCACACUUAAGGUUCGACGUUGUUUUAUGCGUAUUUGAGUUAUAUGGUUGGUUGCCGAAUGUUGUUCGGAGUCCCGGAUGAGAUCACGGACGUCACGAAGGUUUCCAGAAUGGUUCGAAAACGAAGAUUGAUAUAUAGGAUGACCUCAUUUGAUUACCGGAAGGUUUUUGGAGUUACUGGGAAUGUACCGGGAAUGACGAAUGGGUUCCGGGAGUUCACCGGGGGGGGGGGCAACCCACCCCGGGGAAGCCCAUAGGCCUUGAGGGUGGCACACCAGCCCUUAGUGGGCUGGUGGGGCAGCCCAAAAGGGCCCUAUGCGCCUAGGAAAGAAAAUCAAAGAGAAAANNNNNNNNNNNNNNNNNNNNNNNNNNNNNNNNNNNNNNNNNNNNNNNNNNNNNNNNNNNNNNNNNNNNNNNNNNNNNNNNNNNNNNNNNNNNNNNNNNNNNNNNNNNNNNNNNNNNNNNNNNNNNNNNNNNNNNNNNNNNNNNNNNNNNNNNNNNNNNNNNNNNNNNNNNNNNNNNNNNNNNNNNNNNNNNNNNNNNNNNNNNNNNNNNNNNNNNNNNNNNNNNNNNNNNNNNNNNNNNNNNNNNNNNNNNGGGGAAGCCCAUAGGCCUUGGGGGUGGUGCACCAGCCCUUGGUGGGCUGGUGGGACAGCCCAAGAAGGCCCUAUGCGCCAUAGAAAGAAAAUCAAAGAGAAAAGAGAAAAAAAGGAGGUGGGAAAGGAGAGAAGGACUCCACCUUCCAAUCCUAGUUGGACUAGGAUUGGAGGAGGACUCCUCCUCCCUUGGUGGCGCAGCCCUUGGGGCUCCUUGAGCCUCCAGGCAAGCCUCCCCUCCCUCCUCCUAUAUAUAUGGAGCAAUUAGGGCUGAUUUGACACAACUUUUCAAGGCAGCCCGACCACAUACCUCCACGAUUUUACCUCUAGAUCGCAUUUCUGCGGAGCUCGAGCGGAGCCCUGCUGAGAUUAGAUCACCACCAACCUCCGUAACGCCGUCACACUGCCGGUGAACUCAUCUACCUCUCCGUCUCUCUUGCUGGAUCAAGAAGGCCGAGAUCAUCGUCGAGCUGUAUGUGUGCUGAACGCGGAGGUGCCGUCCGUUCGGCACUAGAUCGUGGGACGGAUCGCGGGACGGUUCGCGGGGCGGACCGAGGGACGGGAGGACGUUCCACUACAUCAACCGCGUUUCUUAACGCUUCUGCUAUGCGAUCUACAAGGGUACGUAGAUCGGAAAUCCCCUCUCGUAGAUGGACAUCACCAUGAUAGGUCUUCGUGCGCGUAGGAAAUUUUUUUCUUCCCAUGCGACGUUCCCCAACACCUUCGCCGUCGGUGGGGUUCUUCACCCCAUACCACGUUGCUGCCAUCUCCAACACCGUGGAGGUGAUGGUUAUCGGCGUUGGCACCAGUACGGCUCCCGGAAAGGCCUCCGGAGGCGCUGGUGAGCCCGCCGCGGCCACCGCCGAUACUCUUCGGGACACCAUCGCCGGACUAAAGACACCUGUCACCAGCUCCGCCGACCCUGCAAACGCUCGGGCCUCGUUGGAGGAGGCUCGCGAGCAUAUCUUGGAGGAGGGCAUCGCCGUAGCUUCGGCGAAACGUCGGUUGGAGGCUACGCAGUGCGAGUAUAACUCCGCAUACGGUCUCACUCCGAUUUCCGAGGCCCCUAGCCGGCUUGGAUCGGUCCGCAGCUGCGGCCGGUUCAUCGCCGAGGUUCUAGGCGGUGAUCUGCCCACCUACGAGACUCCUGCGGCCAACAUGCGAGCGGCGCAGGCAACCAUGGAGGAGAUGGCCAGCCUGGAUGGCGAGGAGCGCGCCUUCCAGGAGAAGCGUGUCAAGGAUCUCCUUGACGCCGCCAACCAGCAACACGCUCGGCUUGACCCCGGUCAGGCUCAAUCGGAGUCCCCGGGACCGAACUCAGGGGCACGCCGCAAUCCUAGCGGCCAGCACCACGUAGAAGGAUCUUCCUCGCAUCGCCCUUCCGGGCGGAGGGGCGAGGGAAGCCAAGACCGGCGCUCUCAGCGCCAGAGCGAGCACACUUCGGGCUUGCGUCGCGGAGGCGACGAGGGCGAUUCGGAGUGUGAGGUUCUCCCCCCGCGAAGAACUCACGUCUCUGGCUCACGAGGCGCCUCCCCUCUCGCCACCGGGGCUGGCGCCCACGCCACCCAGGAUGAGCGGGAUGCCCGUCGGCGUCUCAUCGUCCUCGCCCAGUCAGCCCUCCUAGAGGAAGACGAACCCGUCGGUCUGGCAUGCUUCGGCCCCCGGAUCCGAGGGGAGCCGUUCCCCCGAGGUUUCAACUUACCUCGGGAUACGCCGAAAUACAACGACACGGCCAAGCCAGAAGACUGGCUGAUUGAUUAUACCACGGCCGUAGGCAUCGCCAGGGGCAACAAGCGCGUAGCAGUUCGCUACGUGCCACUCAUGUUGGCCGGCUCGGCCCGAACUUGGCUUAACAGCCUCCCGGCCGGCAGUGUCAACUCCUGGGUGGACUUCGAGGAGGCGUUCGUCCGCAACUUCACCGGCACCUACAAGCGCCCUGGCCAGCCCCGCGAGCUGGCUAUGUGCGUCCAGAAGGCCGACGAACCCCUUCGCGACUACGUCACCCGGUGGACUGAGCUCUGCAACUCCUGCGAGGGGUGCAUGAGGUACAAGCCAUCCAGUACUUCAUUGACGGUUGCCGAGACGGCACCCUCCUCAAGCACAAGCUCAUGUGCGCCGAGCCCACCUCUUUGGCGGUGCUCAUGGCCUAGGCAGACAAGUACUCCACGGCCGACUCCACAAUGCGCAUCAAGGUGACCGCCUCGGACAAGGUUGUGCCUACGCGGGCUACUCCCAAGCCGGCUGGGGACAACCGAGGCGGCCAGAACAACUACAAGCGCAAGGCGGAUCAGAUGGAUCCCCGCUCCAACAGCAAGUUGGUGGCCAAUGUGGAGGGCGAGGCGUCGGCUUCUCAAGCCGGCCCUCCACGAAAGCGUCCCAAUCGGAGCAACCCCAACUGGCUGCCCAAGCAGUCCUUCGAGCAGCUGCUCGACGCCCCCUGCAAGAUACAUUCUGGGGAGACGCCGUCUUCCCAUACCCUUCGACAGUGCAACGUUGCGCGCCGGCUGUCGCAAGGGGAUGGCAUGCCGGCUCCUCCGGGUGCACAUGCGGCGGCCCGUGCGGCGGCUCCCAACCACGCUCUGCCUCCGCCACCGCCACCUCGCGAUGACGGUCAUCACCCAGACGACUAUCCUCAUCAAGACGGAGCGUUCGUCGUCUUCACCAGCGAAGGCGACGACAAGCACAACCUACGCCAAAGACGGCACGAGGUAAACGCCACUGUCCUCCCGGUUCCCCAGUACAUGCAUUGGUCUGACAAACCAAUCACAUGGAGCCGGGUGGACCAUCCUGCGGUGAUGCCCAACCUGGGAUUAUACGCGCUCGUCCUCGACCCCACCUUCGCCUCCAAAAGGCUCACCUGCCGAUUCUCCCGGGUGCUGGUCGAUGGCGGCAGCAGCAUCAACAUCCUCUACCUCGACACUCUCCUCAAGCUUGGGCUCAAGGAGACGGACGUCCUGCCAACCAGCACUGUCUUCCAUGGCAUCGUGCCUGGGCAGUCCUGCUCGCCCAUCGGCAAGAUCCAGCUGGACGUCCUCUUCGGCGACAAGGCCCACUUCCGCCGAGAGUCCAUAUGGUUCGAGGUAGUAGACCUCAGUAGCCCGUAUCACGCGCUGUUGGGAAGACCGGCUUUGGCCAAGUUCAUGGCUAUUCCGCAUUAUGCCUACCUAAAGAUGAAGAUGCCGGGUCCCAAGGGCAUCAUCACUGUUGUUGGCGACUACAAGAAGUCGCUCGAGUGUGCCCAAGAUAGCAGCCGCCUCACCGACGCCUUGGUGAUUGCUGAGGAGAAGCGGCAGAUUGACCGGCUCGUGGCCCAGGCUGCCGAGCAGCCGGUGAUUCCUUCUCCUCCGUCCCAAUCGACCGGCGAGGGCUCUUUCAAGCCGGCUAAAGAGACCAAACAGGUCCCACUCGACCCUGCCAACGCGAAGUAGUGCGUCACCAUCGGGGCUGGCCUCAGCCCCAAAUAGGAAGGCGAGCUCGUCGACUUCCUCCGUGAGAAUCGGGACAUCUUUGCAUGGUCCCUCAAGGACAUGCCGGGUGUUCCGAGGAAGUACGCCGAGCACAAACUUCACGUGCGACCGGAUGCGAAGCCGGUGAAACAACCCCUGCGCCGCUUCGCCGAGGGGAAGCGGCGCACGAUCGGAGAAGAAAUCACCCGGCUCCUCGCAUCCGGCUUCAUCAUGGAGGUUUUCCACCCGGACUGGCUGGCUAACCCAGUCCUGGUGCUGAAGAAGAACAACACAUGGCGAAUGUGUAUCGACUACACUAGCCUGAAUAAGGCCUGUCCGAAAGACCCUUUCGCGUUGCCUAGGAUAGAUCAAGUGAUCGACUCCACUGCAGGCUGCGAACUGCUGUCGUUUAUGGAUGCUUAUUCAGGCUACCAUCAAAUCAAGCUGGAUCCAACUGAUCCCGUGAAGACCUCCUUCAUCACGCCCUUCGGGGCCUACUGCUACACCACCAUGACGUUCGGUCUGAAGAACGCACGUGCGACAUUCCAACACUGCAUGCAGCAGUGCCUACUGCCACAGAUUGGCAGAAACAUCCACGUCUAUGUGGAUGACAUUGUCGUCAAGACGAAGCAGCACUUCAGCCUCCUCGACGACCUACGGGAGACAUUCGCUAAUCUGCGCGAAUACAAGAUCCGGCUCAACCCUGAGAAGUGCGUCUUCGGGGUCCCAGGCGGCAAACUCUUGGGGUUCUUCAUAUCCGCCCGCGGCAUCGAAGCGAACCCUGAGAAGAUCAGCACCAUCGAGCGGAUGGUGCGGCCGGCUCGGAUCCUCGACGUCCAAAAGUUCGCCGGCUGCUUGGCAUCCCUCAGCCGGUUCGUCAGCCGACUUGGUGAGAAGGCCCUUCCACUCUACAAGCUCAUGAAGAUGACGACAAAGUUCGAGUGGAACGACCAGGCGGACGAAGCCUUCCGCGACCUCAAGCGGGUAAUCUCGAGCCUGCCAUUCUUGGCAGCCCCAUCUGAAAGGGAACCCAUACUCAUAUACAUCGCGGCGACCACUCGCGUGGUCAGCGUAGUGUUGGUAGUUCAGCGUAAAGAGGAAGGCAAGGCCCUGCCAGUGCAGCGCCCUGUCUACUACCUUAGCAAGGUCUUGUCUGCCUCUAAGCAGAACUACCCUCAUUAUCAGAAAAUGUGUUAUGGUGUUUACCUUGCUGCAAAGAAAUUGAAGCAAUACUUCCAAGAGCAUGCCAUCACUGUGUUGGGGAACAUCGCAUGGGAAACAAAAAAUUUCCUACGCGCACGAAGACCUAUCAUGGUGAUGUCCAUCUACGAGAGGGGAUUUCCGAUCUACGUACCCUAGUAGAUCGCACAGCAGAAGCAUUAAGAAAUGCGGUUGAUGUAGUGGAACGUCCUCACGUCCCUCGAUCCGCCCCGCGAACCGUCCCACGAACCGUCCUGCGAUCCGUCCCACGAUCCGCACCGAUCUAGUGCCGAACGGACGGCACCUCCGCGUUCAACACACGUACAGCUUGACGAUGAUCUCGGACUUCUUGAUCCAGCAAGAGAGACGGAGAGGUAGAUGAGUUCUCCGGCAGCGUGACGGCGCUCCGGAGGUUGGUGGUGAUCUAAUCUUAGCAGGGCUCCGCCCGAGCUCCGCAGAAACGCGAUCUAGAGGAAAAACCGUGGAGGUAUGUGGUCGGGCUGCCGUGGCAAAAGUUGUCUCAAAUCAACCCUAAUAGCUCCAUAUAUAUAGGAGGAGGGGAGGGGAGGCUUGCCUUGAGGCUCAAGGAGCCCCAAGGGCUGCGCCACCAAGGGGAGGAGGAGUCCUUGUGACAGCCCGAGACCGACGUUCCAGAAGAUUCCCCCAUUUAUUCCGUUUUCGUCGUAUGUUUAGUUUUUAUUCACUACAUCGUCAUGUAGUUGCAUCAUCGCAUCAUGCAUGGCAUCAUGUCAUCUGUGUUUUAUCGGUGUUGUUUGUUGCUUCGUGUUGUUGGGUGUUAGUGUUUCGUGAGUGGCGUCGUUUGUUGGCGCGAUGAGAGAGGGAGCGUGAGAGCCACCGCUAAACCCCGUUGCACCGCUGACCUAAACCUUCUCCCCUCUUCUCCCCUCCUAAGUUGUUUUGUGGUUUUCCUAAAGAUUUCUAACUUUACCCCUCUUCCAAAAUAUUCGUCUUCUUUUUAAAAGUCCUUUUAUUAAACGUAGGGGCAACCCUUAGGUUUUAUUUUAACUCUCCGUUUGUCUUAUUUUAAAACCCUCCCAUUUUAUUUCUCUUUUAAAAGGCUUCUAUUUAUCCUUUAAAUAAAGAGGUCUUAUUUAAUCCUUUAAAAAAAGGGGUUAUCUUAUUUUUUUUCUUGUUAAAGGAGUUUUAAUUUAAUUCUUCAAAAGGGUGUUGAUUUUAAUUCUUUUAAAAGAAAGGGUUUGGUUUUUUUUAAUUCUUCUAAGAAGGGUUUUAUUUUAAAUCUUAAAAGGGUUUCAUUUUAUUUGUUUAAGAAAAAGCCCAAACUAUUUAUAGUUGGGGUUUGUUUUAAAUGGGUAAAAGAUACUAUCUUUAGUUUGUUUUUAUUUCGUUGGAAAAGACCUUUCUUUUAACAGAUUUCUGUUUUAAGGGUUUUUUUUUUCAAAAGAAAAAAAAACCAAAGUGCAUCAGGGGGAGGGAGCCCAGCCCAGCCGGCCAGGCCCAUGCCUCCUCCCUGACCUAGUGCCGACACCCCAGACCCCCAUCUCCCCCGUGCCGCCGCCCAACGCCCCGCGACCUGGCCUCCCCUGCUCGAGGGCUGCGCCGUCAGCCCCGCGCCAGCAGCCCCGAGCCCCCCGCCGGUCGCCGCCAAGCCCCUCCUGCCGCCUCCUCUUCCUCCCGAGCGCGCCGGCCACCUGCAGGAGACCCGCCGCCUGCGCUCGCCGUCGCCCCGAGUUCCCCGCCGCCGGCAGCCCCGCGCUCCGCCUCCGCAGCGACGCCCCGUCGUGCUCGCGAGCCGGCCGCCUCGCCCUCUGCUCCUCUUCUCCGAGUUCGAGCCGCCGCCCUUGCCCUGCAGCGCCGUCGUCACCCGCGCCUCGCCCCCGUCGCCGUCAUGGCCGCGCCGUCAGCGAGCCGCCCCGCGCGCCGCCCUGCCGUGCCCGCCACCAGGGGAUCCCCUCCGCCGCGCUGCGCGUCGUGGACGCCUCCUCCUCCUCGGACCUCGCCCCCGCGCGCCAUGCUGGUCGCCCCUCGACCCGAGUGCGCCGCCGCCGCCGUCUGCUGCGAGGAUAGCUUCUCCCAUCGCCCCUGCUUCCCAGGCCCGAGAUCAUCGCCCCGUCGGCCUUGCCCCCUGGUCGUCCUCGCUCGCCUCCCGGUCGCCGCCCCGUCGUGCUCGCCGGACCGCCCGUUCCCUUGCCGACGCCGAGAUAGCACGCCACUGCCGUUGCUGUUGCUGCGCUCGUGCCGAGUUGUGUUGCUGGCAGCUGCAGUUGAUGCUUGCCUGUUGCUGUUAGACUGCUAGGCCGCUAUUGCGUUUGCUAUGCUGCUAUUCCUGCUGCCGGUAGUAGAUGCACGCGUUGCCUGCUGCCCUGCUUGCCUGCAGACGCUGAUGCUGAUUGCUGUUGCUGCUGUGUGCUGUAGCUUGCUUGUUGUUUGGGCUUGUUGCCUCGCUGCCGUGCGUUGUUGCUGUCAAGUGUUGCUGUUGUGCCCGCGGUAGUUGUCGUUGCCUGCCCUGCUGUGUAGUCGCUGUAGCUAGCUGCUGCCUGUUGCGUGCUGCAUCGCUGCUGCUUUGCUAGGUGCCGCCAGCUAGCUGGUGUUGUUGUCGAGAUGUUGCUGCUGCCCUUGCCGAUAGCUGUCGUAGCCAGUGCUGUUGUGAGUUGUCCUGUUGCUGUUAGUUGCAAGCUAGCUUGCUCUUGCUGCCGUUAGCUUGCCUGUAGUUGUUGUUGCCGUGCUUGCGCCGCUGCCGUGCGAUUGCUGUUGUAGCUGGCUUUGCUGCUGCUAGUUUGCAUUGCUGCUAGUGGUAGGUUGCGGCAUGCUAGUGCUAGUGCCGCUUUGCCGUUGUAGUUGCUGUCAUGUCGCGUGCCGUUGCUGCGUGCAUGAUCACCGCCUUCGUGGGUCCUCGACAAGUUCGCCGCGAGUACCACGACGCUCCGACGACCCCGGACAUCCACGGAUUCGUGAACGACUACCGACGCCGAAGACCGUCUGCCGACGCCGAGAGUACGACUACCGUCGACGAGACCGUGCACCACUACUUCAACCGCCGGCGCGUGAACGACUACUUCCACGACGACCACGACGUCCGCUUCGACCGAACCCCUCCGAUUCGCACGCGUCGAAGGUAUACCGAUGGGACAUGUCGAGUACCGUGUGCUAGCGAUGUACGAAUGUGUGUGUUGUACAAGUUGAAUGCAUGUAUGCACCGUAUGUAUGCACCGUUUAUUUGCCGUGCUCGUCGUCUUCCUUUUCGUCGAGCCCUCGACACAUGGGAACCCGAGAUACGGGAUCACCCCAUCUUUAUUUACCGUUCCCACACGCGUUCGAAUACGUUGGCACGAUUGCUCGCCGAGUUGUCGGGAUAGGAACGUUGCCGUGGCAUCGUUUCCGUUUUGCCGCCAUGGUUCCCUUUCGUUUGCCAUGGCGACACAAGUUUCUUUCUCUUCUUGCCCGUGAUGUUUGAACUCGCCUGCAUGACGCAUUCAUGGCAUAUUUAUUUUGUGUUGCUUAUUCUUGUGCCGUAGCUCCGUUCAAAGUCCGACAUGCUGUCGACUAGGAUGACUUGUAGGUUCAUCGCUCACCCCUUGCCAUGUUAACAACAUUUAAUAUUGUCGUGAUAAUUAACGGGAGUUAAUUAAAUAUUUAAACGUGGAGUUUCGUCGAUAUGCAACCCGUUGCAUAUCGAGCUUCAUUUAAUGUGUAGUGUAUGUGUGAGGUGUUUUGCCGUGCCAUCCCGUGCAUCGAUGACCUGUUCAUGCAUCAUAUUAGGGUUGCAUCAUGUCUUGCCUUGUGGUGGUGAAUACUAGUGUUGAUGUUUGUUUCCGGUUUCCUCCGUCUCGAUAGAGUUCCGCAAGCGUGUCGGAAUGUGAGGACCGUUCGACUAUGUCGGUUCGCUGACUUCACCGAGUUGUUCUUCUUCCAAGCGGGAUCUCAGGCAAGAUGAUCAUUUCCCCAGAUACCAUUACUAUCAUUGCCAUGCUAGUUAUUUCGUUGCUACCGUUUAUGUCUCGUUGCCUACCACCUGUUAAAUAUCAGCCUCUCAACAAUGCCAUGAUUACCCUCAACCUGUUCGACCUAGCAAACCACUGAUUGGCUAUGUUACUGCUUGCUUAACCCUGUUGUUAGCGUUGCUAGUUGCAGGUGCAGUUGCUACCAUGUGAGAACAUGGGUACCUUGUUAUAUCACCAUAUCAAUGCUAUUUAAUUUAAUGCACCUAUAUACUUGGUAAAAGGUGGAAGGCUCGGCCUUUCUAGCCUGGUGUUUUGUUCCACCUUUGCCCCCUUAGUUUCGGCUACCGGUGUUAUGUUCCAUAAACGAGCGCUCCUAACACGAUCGGGGUUGUUAUGGGGACCCCCUUGAUAAUUCGUUUUAGAUUAAAGAUGGUCUGGCAAGGCCCAACUUUGGUACUACAUUUGCCUAAUCACUAAUAAACUGCAUAGGGAGUAAUUAACCCGAGGAAAUUUAAUCAACCCCCGGGCCAGUGCUCCUCAUGAGUGUUGGUCCAAACUAGAGCCGUUUGCGGGGCCAACCCGGGGCAACUCGGGAGAUUUCUAUCAGGCCACCGUACGCUGUGCUUAUCCGUCGUGUCCUGAGAACGAGGUACGCGACUCCUAUCGGGAUCGUCGACACGUCGGGCGGCCUUGCUGGAUUAGUUUUACCUUUGACGAAAUAUCUUGUGCAUCGGGAUUCUGGUGAUGCUUUGAGUAAUCUCAGAGUUGAGGUUUUCCACUAGGGAAUCCGACGAGAUCGCGAGCUUCGUGAUUGAGGAUUUCUAUGCGGCUUGUGGUAAUUUGUGAUGGACUAGUUGGAGCACCCCUGCAGGGUUAAAUCUUUCGGAAAGCCGUGCCCGCGGUUAUGUGGCAAAGUGGAUACUUUGUUUAACACUGGUUAUAGAUAACUUGAAGUUAACUUAAUUAAAAUAUGCCAACUGUGUGCGUAACCGUGAUUGUCUGUUUCAUGAGUUCCUUCUCCGAUCGAGGACACGGUGGGGUUAUGUCUGACGUAGGUAGGUGUUCAGGAUCAUUCAUUUGAUCAUCAGUAGUCACGUCCGCUAUGCGUAGAUCUUCCCCCUCUUAUUUCUUGUAUUCGUAAGUUAGCCACCAUAUAUAUGCUUAGCCGCUGCUGCAACCUCACCACUUAACCAUGCCUCACCUAACAAGCUUGCAUGCNNNNNNNNNNNNNNNNNNNNNNNNNNNNNNNNNNNNNNNNNNNNNNNNNNNNNNNNNNNNNNNNNNNNNNNNNNNNNNNNNNNNNNNNNNNNNNNNNNNNCUGGAAGCAGGAAUCAUUUAUCCUGUUGCUCAUAGUGAUUGGGUAAGUCCAGUACAUUGCGUACCUAAGAAGGGAGGUAUCACCGUCGUUCCUAAUGAUAAGAAUGAACUAAUCCCACAGAGGAUUAUUACUGGCUAUAGGAUGGUGAUAGACUUCCGGAAACUGAACAAGGCAACCAGGAAAGACCAUUAUCCUUUGUCGUUUAUCGACCAAAUGCUAGAAAGGCUAUCUAAACACACACACGUCUACUUUCUAGACGGUUAUUCAGGUUUCUCGCAAAUACCUGUUGCACAAUCUGAUCAGGAUAAAACCACUUUCACCUGCCCAUUCGGUACCUUUGCUUAUAGACGUAUGCCUUUUGGCUUAUGCAAUGCACCUGCCACCUUUCAAAGGUGUAUGAUGGCAAUAUUCUCUGACUUUUGUGAAAAGAUUGUUGAGGUUUUCAUGGAUGAUUUCUCCGAUUACGGUUCUUCCUUUGACGAUUGCCUCGGCAACCUUGAUCGAGUCUUACAGAGAUGCUAACAUACCAACCUCGUAUUGAACUGGGAGAAGUGCCACUUCAUGGUUAAUGAAGGUAUCGUCUUAGGACACAAAAUCUCUGAGAAAGGCAUUGAAGUUGAUAAGGCUAAGCUUGAUGCAAUUGAGAAAAUGCCUUGCCCCACAGAUAUCAGAGGUAUACGAAGUUUCCUAGGUCAUACUGGUUUCUAUAGAAGGUUCAUUAAAGACUUCUCUAAGAUUUCUAGGCCUCUUACCAACCUCUUGCAGAAGGAUGUUCCUUUUGUUUUUGAUGAGGAUUGUGAGGAAGCUUUCGAAAUACUUAAGAGGGCCUUGAUAACCGCACCUAUUGUUCAACCACCUGAUUGGAACUUGCCCUUUGAAAUCAUGUGCGACGCUAGUGAUUAUGCUGUUGGUGUUGUUCUAGGACAAAGAGUUGACAAGAAGUUGAAUGUUAUUCACUACGCUAGUAAAACUCUAGACAUUGCCCAAAGAAACUAUGCUACUACGGAGAAGGAAUUUUUAGCAGUCGUGUUUGCAUGUGAAAAGUUCAGAUCUUAUAUAGUUGACUCCAAAGUCAUUAUUCACUCUGAUCGUGCUGCUAUCAAGUAGCUUAUGGAGAAGAAAUACGCUAAACCUAGGCUAAUCAGAUGGGUUCUCCUGCUACAGGAAUUUGAUUUGCACGUUGUUGACCAAAAGGGUGCUGAUAACCCUAUAGCAGAUAACUUAUCCAGGCUAGAGAACGUCCUUGAUGACCCACGACCUAUUGAUGACAGCUUUCCUGAUGAGCAAUUGAAUGUCAUCCGUACUUCACAUAGUGCACCGUGGUAUGCUGAUUACACAAACUAUAUCGUAGCCAAAUACAUACCAUCCAGUUUCACCUACCAGCAAAAGAAGAAAUUCUUCUUUGAUUUGAGACACUACUUUUGGGAUGAUCGUCACCUUUAUAAGGAACGAGUAGAUGGUGUUAUUAGACGUUGUGUGCCUGAACAUGAACAGGGAUAGAUCCUGCAGAAGUGUCAUUCCGAAGCCUACGGAGGACACCAUGCUGGAGAUAGAACUGCUCAUAAGGUAUUGCAAUCAGGUUUCUAUUGGCCCACUCUCUUCAAGGAUGCCCGUAAGUUUGUCUUGUCUUGUGACGAAUGCCAAAGAAUAGGGAACAUCAGUAAACGUCAGGAAAUGCCUAUGAACUAUUCACUUGUCAUUGAACCAUUUGAUGUCUGGGGGUUUGAUUAUAUGGGACCCUUCCCGAGUUCCAAUGGGUAUACUCACAUAUUAGUUGCUGUUGAUUACGUAACUAAGUGGGUAGAAGCUAUCCCCACUAGAAGUGCUGAUCACCACGUCUCUAUUAAGAUGCUUAAAGAAGUCAUUUUCCCAAGAUUUGGAGUCCCUAGAUAUCUGAUGACUGAUGGCGGUUCACACUUCAUUCAUGGUGUUUUCCGCAAGAUUCUCGCUAAGUAUGAUGUCAACCAUAGAGUUGCAUCUCCUUAUCAUCCUCAGUCUAGUGGUCAAGUGGAAUUGAGUAAUAGGGAGAUCAAAUUGAUCUUACAAAAGACUGUCAAUAGAUCUCGAAAGAAUUGGUCUAGCAAACUUGACGAUGCACUAUGGGCUUAUAGGACUGCUUAUAAGAAUCCCAUGGGCAUGUCGCCGUAUAAAAUGGUUUACGGUAAGGCCUGUCAUUUACCUCUUAAGCUAGAACACAAAGCUUAUUGGACAAUCGAAGAGCUCAACUUCGAUUUCAAACUUGCUGGUGAGAAGCGGUUGUUUGAUAUCAUCUCAUUAGAUGAAUGGAGGGCCCAGGCAUAUGAGAAUGCCAAGUUGUUCAAAGAAAAGGUUAAGAGAUGGCACGAUAAAAGAAUACAAAAACGUGAGUUCAAUGUAGGUGAUUAUGUCCUUCUAUACAAUUCUUGCUUAAGAUUCUUCGUAGGCAAGCUUCUCUCUAAAAGGGAAGGUCCCUACGUUGUCGAGGAAGUAUAUUGUUUCGGUGCCAACCAAAUCAAUAACACGGAAGGUAAUUUUCCGAGAGUGGUAAAUGGGCAAAGAAUCAAGCAUUAUAUCUCUGGUACUCCCAUAAAUGUUGAGACCAAUAUCAUCAAUAUCAUAACUCCAGAGGAGUACAUAAGGGAUGUUUAUCAGCCUGUUUCAGACUCUGAAAACGGAGAGUAUGUGUUUUGGUAAGUAAUUGGACUCCAAAACUUUUCCAGUAGGAAAUUUUCUCUGUUUUGGAAUUUAUGGAAAAAACGAAAAAUAAAAAGCACUCCGAAGAGCGCACGAGGCGGCCANNNNNNNNNNNNNNNNNNNNNNNNNNNNNNNNNNNNNNNNNNNNNNNNNNNNNNNNNNNNNNNNNNNNNNNNNNNNNNNNNNNNNNNNNNNNNNNNNNNNUUCGCGAUGCUGAAAGUCGCAGAGUCAGAACUCCGUAAAGAACAUCAAGUGUUGAUGGUGAAUAAGACCACUAGUUUCAAGAGAAAUGGCAAAGGAAAGAAGGGUAAUUCAAAGAAGAGCGGCAAACCUGUUGCCAAUCCGACGAAGAAACCCGAAGAUGGACCUAAGCCUGAAACGGAGUGCUAUUAUUGCAAGGGUAUGGGUCACUGGAAGCGCAACUGCCCCAAGUAUCUGGCUGAUAAGAAGGCGGCCAAAGUAAAAUCAGGUAUAUUUGACAUACAUGUUAUUGAUAUGUACUUAACCAGCUCUCGUAGUAGUGCCUGGGUAUUCGAUACCGGUUCUGUUUCUCAUAUAUGCAACUCGAAACAGGAACUGCGGAAUAGGCGAAGGCUGGCGAAAGAUGAAGUGACGAUGCGCGUAGGAAAUGGUUCCAAGGAUGAUGCAAUCGCCGUCGGCACAGUUUAACUUCAGUUACCAUCAGGAUUAGUGAUGAACUUAAAUCAUUGUUAUUUAGUGCCUGCGUUGAGCAUGAACAUUAUAUGUGGAUCUUGUUUAUUGCGAGACGGUUACUCUUUUAAGUCAGAGAAUAAUGGUUGUUCUAUUUCUAUGAGUAACAUCUUUUAUGGUCAUGCACCUAAUGUGAGAGGAUUGUUCAUAUUGAAUCUUGAUAGCGAUACGCAUAUACAUAACAUUGAGACCAAAAGAGUUAGAGUUAACAAUGAUAGCGCCAUAUUUUUGUGUCACUGCCGCUUAGGUCACAUUGGUGUAAAGCGCAUGAAGAAACUCCAUGCUGAUGGACUUUUGGAGUCACUUGACUUUGAUUCACUUGACACGUGCGAACCAUGCCUCAUGGGCAAGAUGACUAAGACUCCGUUCUCCGGAACAAUGGAGCGUGCAAGUGACUUGUUGGAAAUCAUACAUACCGAUGUGUGUGGUCCAAUGAGCGUGGAGGCACGCGGCGGAUAUCGUUAUUUUCUCACCUUCACUGACGAUUUGAGCAGAUAUGGUUAUGUCUACUUGAUGAAGCACAAGUGUGAAACAUUUGAAAAGUUCAAGCAAUUUCAGAGUGAAGUGGAAAAUCAUCGUAACAAGAAGAUCAAGUUCCUACGGUCUGAUCGUGGGGGUGAAUAUCUGAGUUUCGAGUUUGGUACUCACUUAAGACAAUGUGGAAUAGUUUCACAGUUAACACCGCCUGGAACACCACAGCGUAAUGGUGUGUCCGAACGUCGUAAUCGUACUCUAUUAGAGAUGGUGCGAUCUAUGAUGUCUCUUACUGAUUUGCCGUUAUCGUUUUGGGGUUAUGCAUUAGAAACAGCUCAUUCACUUUAAAUAGGGCACCAUCAAAAUCCGUUGAGACGACACCAUACGAACUGUGGUAUGGCAAAAGGCCAAAGUUGUCGUUUCUUAAAGUUUGGGGAUGUGAUGCUUAUGUCAAAAAGCUUCAGCCUGAAAAGCUGGAACCCAAAGCGGAAAAGUGCGUCUUCAUAGGUUACCCAAAAGAGACAGUUGGGUACACCUUCUAUCUCAAAUCCGAGGGCAAAGUGUUUGUUGCUAAAAAUGCAGCUUUUCUCGAGAAGGAGUUUCUCUCGAGAGAAUUGAGUGGGAGGAAGAUAGAACUUGACGAGGUUGUCGAACCUCUCAUCCCUCUGGAUGGUGGCGCAGGGCAAGGGGAAACCUCUGUCGUUGCGACGCCGGUUGAGGAGGAAGUUAAUGAUGAUGAUCAUGAAACUCCAGUUCAAGUUUCUGUCAAACCACGCAGGUCGACGAGACCACAUGCUGCUCCAGAGUGGUACGGUAAUCCCGUCUUAUCAAUCAUGUUGUUAGACAACAAUGAACCUGCAAAUUAUGAAGAAGCAAUGGUGGGCCCAGAUUCCAACAAAUGGCUAGAAGCCAUGAAGUCCGAGAUAGGAUCCAUGUAUGAGAACAAAGUGUGGACUUUGGAGGUACUACCUGAGGGCCGCAAGGCUAUUCAGAACAAAUGGAUCUUUAAGAGGAAGACGGACGCUGACGGCAAUGUGACCGUUUAUAAAGCUCGACUUGUGGCAAAGGGUUUUUCACAAGUUCAAGGAGUUGACUACGAUGAGACAUUCUCACCCGUAGCGAUGCUUAAGUCCGUCAGAAUCAUGUUAGCAAUAGCUGCAUUUUUCGAUUAUGAAAUCUGGCAGAUGGAUGUCAAAACGGCGUUCCUUAAUGGUUUCCUUAAGGAAGAGUUGUAUAUGAUACAACCCGAAGGUUUUGUCGAUCCUAAGAAUGCUAACAAGGUGUGCAAGCUCCAGCGAUCCAUUUAUGGACUGGUGCAAGCAUCUCGGAGUUGGAACAAACGCUUUGAUGAGGUAAUCAAAGCAUUUGGGUUUAUACAAGUGGUUGGAGAAUCUUGUAUUUACAAGAAAGUGAGUGGGAGCUCUGUGGCGUUUCUAAUAUUAUAUGUGGAUGACAUAUUGCUGAUUGGAAACAACGUGGAGUUUUUAGAGAGCAUAAAUGAUUACUUGAAUAAGAGUUUCUCUAUGAAGGACCUAGGAGAAGCUGCUUACAUUCUAGGCAUUAAGAUCUAUAGGGAUAGAUCAAAACGCGUGAUAGGACUUUCACAAAGCACAUACCUUGAUAAAGUUUUGAAGAGGUUCAAAAUGGAACAGUCCAAGAAAGGGUUCUUGCCAGUUUUACAAGGUACGAUAUUGAGUAAGACUCAGUGCCCGGCAACUGAUGAAGAUAGAGAGCAUAUGCGCUCCGUCCCCUAUGCUUCAGCCAUAGGUUCUAUCAUGUAUGCAAUGUUGUGCACUAGACCGGAUGUUAGCCUGGCCAUAAGUAUGGCAGGUAGGUUCCAGAGUAAUCCAGGAGUGGAUCACUGGACAGCGGUCAAGAAUAUCCUAAAGUACCUAAAAAGGACUAAGGAGAUGUUUCUCGUGUCUGGAGGUGACGAAGAGCUCGCCGUAAAAGGUUACGUCGAUGCAAGCUUUGACACAGAUCCGGAUGACUCUAAGUCGCAAACCGGAUACGUAUUUAUUCUUAAUGGGGGUGCGGUAAGCUGGUGCAGUUCCAAGCAAAGCGUCAUAGCAGAUUCUACAUGUGAAGCGGAGUACAUGGCUGCCUCGGAGGCAGCUAAGGAGGGUGUCUGGAUGAAGCAGUUCAUGACGGAUCUUGGAGUGGUGCCAACCGCACUGAAUCCAAUAACCUUGUUCUGUGACAACACGGGUGUCAUUGCCUUAGCAAAGGAACCACGGUUUCACAAGAAGACCAGACACAUCAAACGACGCUUCAACCUCAUCCGCGACUACGUCGAGGGAGAGGACGUAAAUAUAUGCAAAGUGCACACGAAUCUGAAUGUAGCAGACCCGCUGACUAAACCUCUUCCACGGCCAAAGCAUGAUCAACACCAGAACUGUAUGGGUGUUAGAUUUAUUACAAUGUAAUUCACAUGAUGAUGUGAGGGCUAGAUUAUUGACUCUAGUGCAAGUGGGAGACUGUUGGAAUUAUGCCCNNNNNNNNNNNNNNNNNNNNNNNNNNNNNNNNNNNNNNNNNNNNNNNNNNNNNNNNNNNNNNNNNNNNNNNNNNNNNNNNNNNNNNNNNNNNNNNNNNNNAGCACGUGAUGAUGGCCAUAUCAUGUCACUUAUGAAUUGCAUGUGAUGUUAAUCCUUUUAUGCACCUUAUUUUUCUUAGAACGACGGUAGCAUUAUGAGGUGAUCUCUCACUAAAAUUUCAAGACGAAAUUGUGUUCUCCCCGACUGUGCACCGUUGCAGUUCGUUGUUUCGAGACACCACGUGAUGAUCGGGUGUGAUAGAGUCAACGUUCACAUACAACGGGUGCAAAACAGUUGCACACGCAGAACACUCGGGUUAAGCUUGACGAGCCUAGCAUGUGCAGACAUGGCCUUGGAACACAUGAUACCGAAAGGUCGAUCAUGAAUCAUAUAGUUGAUAUGAUUAGCAUAGGGAUGCUUACCACUGAAACUAUCCUCAACUCACGUGAUGAUCGGACUUGAGCUAGUGGAAUUGGAUCAUGAACAACUCAAAUGACUAGAGAUAUGUACUUUUUGAGUGGGAGUUUAGCAAGUAAUUUCAUUAAGUUAAACUCUAAUUAUCUUGAACAUAGUCUAAGUCCACUUUGAAUAUAUUUGUGUUGUAGAUCAUGGCUCACGCGACAGUCACCUUGAAUUUUAAUACGUUCCUAGAGAAAGCUAAGUUGAAAGAUGAUGGAAGCAACUUUGUAGACUAGGCUCGUAAUCUUAAGUUGAUCCUACAAGCUGGGAAGAAGGAUUAUGUCCUUGAUGCUGCGCUAGGAGAUGAACCACCCGCUACGGCUGACCAAGAUGUUAAGAACGCUUGGUUAUCACGUAAGGAGGACUACUCAGUAGUUCAAUGUGCAGUCUUGUAUGGCUUAGAACCGGGACUUCAACGUCACUUUGAGCGUCAUGGAGCAUUUGAGAUGUUCCAAGAGUUGAAGUUUAUCUUUCAGAAGAACGCCCGGAUCGAGAGGUAUGAGACCUCCGAUAAAUUCUAUGCUUGCAAGAUGGAGGAGAACUCGUCUGUCAGUGAACAUGUGCUCAAAAUGUCUGGGUACUCAAACCAUCUAGCUGAGCUGGGGAUUGAACUCCCGCAAGAGGCUAUCACUGACAGAAUCCUUCAAUCACAGCCGCCAAGCUAUAAAGGCUUUGUGUUGAACUACAACAUGCAAGGGAUGAACAAGUCACCCGGCGAGUUGUUUGCGAUGCUGAAAGUCGCAGAGUCUGAACUCCGUAAAGAACAUCAAGUGUUGAUGGUGAAUAAGACCACUCAUUUCAAGAGAAACGACAAAGGCAAGAAGGGUAAAUCAAAGAAGAUCGGAAAGCCUGUUGCCAAUCCGACGAAGAAACCCAAAGCUGGACCUAAGCCUGAAACAAAGUGUUACUAUUGCAAGGGUAUGGGUCACUGGAAGCGCAAUUGCCCCAAGUAUCUGGCUGAUAAGAAGGCGGCCAAAGAAAAAUCAGGUAUAUUUGAUAUACAUGUUAUUGAUGUGUACUUAACCGGCUCUCGUAGUAGUGCCUGGGUAUUCGAUACCGGUUAUGUUGCUCAUAUUUGCAACUCGAAACAGGAACUACAGAAUAGACGAAGGCUGGCGAACGAUGAAGUGACGAUGCGCAUAGGAAAUAGUUCCAAGGUUGAUGCAAUCGCCGUCGGCACAGUUUCACUUCAGUUACCAUCAGGAUUAGUUAUGAACUUGAAUCAUUGUUAUUUAGUGCCUGCGUUGAGCAUGAACAUUAUAUCUGGAUCUUGUUUAUUGCGAGAUGGUUACUCUUUUAAGUCAGAGAAUAAUGGUUGUUCUCUUUCUAUGAGUAACAUCUUUUAUGGUCAUGCACCCAAUGUGAGAGGAUUGUUCAUAUUGAAUCUUGAUAGCGAUACACACAUACAUAACAUUGAGACCAAAAGAGUUAGAGUUAACAAUGAUAGCGCCAUAUUUUUGUGGCACUGCCGCUUAGGUCAUAUUGGUGUAAAGCGCAUGAAGAAACUCCAUGCCGAUGGACUUUUGGAGUCACUUGACUUUGAUUCACUUGACACGUGCGAACCAUGCCUCAUGGGCAAGAUGACUAAAACUCCGUUCUCCGGAACAAUGGAGCGUGCAAGUGACUUGUUGGAAAUCAUACAUACCGAUGUGUGUGGUCCGAUGAGCGUAGAGGCACGCGGCGGAUAUCGUUAUUUUCUCACCUUCACUGAUGAUUUGAGUAGAUAUGGUUAUGUCUACUUAAUGAAGCACAAGUCUGAAACAUUUGAAAAGUUCAAGCAAUUUCAGAGUGAAGUUGAAAAUCAUCGUAACAAGAAGAUCAAGUUCCUACGGUCUGAUCGUGGGGGUGAAUAUCUGAGUUUCGAGUUUGGUGCUCACUUAAGACAAUGUGGAAUUGUUUCACAGUUGACNNNNNNNNNNNNNNNNNNNNNNNNNNNNNNNNNNNNNNNNNNNNNNNNNNNNNNNNNNNNNNNNNNNNNNNNNNNNNNNNNNNNNNNNNNNNNNNNNNNNUAUAUCACAUCACAUCAUUGGCCAUAUCACAUCACAAGCAUACCCUGCAAAAACAAGUUAGACGUCCUCUAAUUUUGUUGUUGCAUGUUUUACGUGGUGACCAUGGGUAUCUAGUAGGAUCGCAUCUUACUUACGCAAACACCACAACGGAGAUAUAUGAGUUGCUAUUUAACCUCAUCCAAGGACCUCCUCGAUCAAAUCCGAUUCAACUAAAGUUGGAGAAACUGACACCCACCAUUCAUCUUUGAGCAACGGAGUUACUCGUAGCGAUGAAACCAGUCUCUCGUAAGCGUACGAGUAAUGUCGGUCCGAGCCACUUAGAUCCAAUAAUACCGCGGAAUCAAGAAAAUACUAAGGAGGGAAGCAAAACGCACAUCACCGCCCACAAAAACUUUUGUGUUCUACUCGAGAAGACAUCUACGCAUGAACCUAGCUCAUGAUGCCACUGUUGGGGAACGUCGCAUGGGAAACAAAAAUUUUCCUACGCGCACGAAGACCUAUCAUGGUGAUGUCCAUCUACGAGAAGGGAUGUGUGAUCUACGUACCCUUGUAGACCGUACAGCAGAAGCGUUAGUGAACGCGGUUGAUGUAGUGGAACGUCCUCACGUCCCUCGAUCCACCCCGCGAACCGUCCCGCGAUCAGUCCCACGAUCUAGUGCCGAACGGACGGCACCUCCGCGUUCAGCACACAUACAGCUCGACGAUGAUCUCAGCCUUCUUGAUCCAGCAAGAGAGACAGAGAGGUAGAAGAGUUCUCCGGCAGCGUGACGGCGCUCCGGAGGUUGGUGGUGAUCUUAUCUCAGCAGGGCUCCGCCCGAGCUCCGGAGAAACGCGAUCUAGAGGAAAAACCGUGGAGGUAUGUGGUCGGGCUGCCGUGGAAAAGUCGUCUCAAAUCAGCCCUAAAACCUCCGUAUACAUAGGGGGAAGAGGGGGAGCCUUGCCUUGGGGUCCAAGGACCCCUAAGGGUUUCGGCCGAGCCAAAGGAGGCAGCCCUCCCCUUCCAAACCGAGUCCAACUAGGUUUGGAAGGAGGAGUCCUUCCCCCUUUUCCCACCUCCUCUUUUUUUUUCUCUUUGAUUUUUCUUCCUAUGGCGCAUAGGGCUCUUUUGGGCUGUCCCACCAGCCCACUAAGGGCUGGUGCGCCACCCCUAAUGCCUAUGGGCUUCCUCGGGGUGGGUUGCCCCCCCAUUGAACUCCCGGAACCCAUUCGUCAUUCCCGGUACAUUCCCGGUAACUCCGAAAACCUUCCGGUAAUCAAAUGAGGUCAUCCUAUAUAUCAAUCUUCGUUUUCGGACCAUUCCGGAAACCCUCGUGACAUCCUUGAUCUCAUCCGGGACUCCGAACAACAUUCGGUAACCAACCAUAUACCUCAAAUACGCAUAAAACAACGUCGAACCUUAAGUGUGCAGACCCUGCGGGUUCGAGAACUAUGUAGACAUGACCCGAGAGACUCCGUGGUUAAUAUCCAAUAGCGGGACCUGGAUGCCCAUAUUGGAUCCUACAUAUUCUACAAAGAUCUUAUCGUUUGAACCUCAGUGCCAAGGAUUCAUAUAAUCCCGUAUGUCAUUCCCUUCGUCCUUCGGUAUGUUACUUGCCCGAGAUUCGAUCGUUAGUAUCCGCAUACCUAUUUCAAUCUCGUUUACCGGCAAGUCUCUUUACUCGUUCCGUAAUACAAGAUCCCGCAACUUACACAAAGUCACAUUGCUUGCNNNNNNNNNNNNNNNNNNNNNNNNNNNNNNNNNNNNNNNNNNNNNNNNNNNNNNNNNNNNNNNNNNNNNNNNNNNNNNNNNNNNNNNNNNNNNNNNNNNNCUCAUCCGGGACUCCGAACAACAUUCGGUAACCAACCAUAUAACUCAAAUACGCAUAAAACAACGUCGAACCUUAAGUGUGCAGACCCUGCGGGUUCGAGAACUAUGUAGACAUGACCCGAGAGACUCCUCGGUCAAUAUCCAAUAGCGGGACCUGGGUGCCCAUAUUGGAUCCUACAUAUUCUACGAAGAUCUUAUCGUUUGAACCUCAGUGCCAAGGAUUCAUAUAAUCCCGUAUGUCAUUCCCUUUGUCCUUCGGUAUGUUACUUGCCCGAGAUUCGAUCGUCAGUAUCCGCAUACCUAUUUCAAUCUCGUUUACCAGCAAGUCUCUUUACUCGUUCCGUAAUACAAGAUCCCGCAACUUACAAUAAGUUACAUUGCUUGCAAGGCUUGUGUGUGAUGUUGUAUUACCGAGUGGGCCCCGAGAUACCUCUCCGUCACACGGAGUGACAAAUCCCAGUCUUGAUCCAUACUAACUCAACUAACACCUUCGGAGAUACCUGUAGAGCAUCUUUAUAGUCACCCAGUUACGUUGCGACGUUUGAUACACACAAAGCAUUCCUCCGGUGUCAGUGAGUUAUAUGAUCUCAUGGUCAUAGGAAUAAAUACUUGACACGCAGAAAACAGUAGCAACAAAAUGACACGAUCAACAUGCUACGUCUAUUAGUUUGGGUCUAGUCCAUCACGUGAUUCUCCUAAUGACGUGAUCCAGUUAUCAAGCAACAACACCUUGUUGAUAAUCAGAAGACACUGACUAUCUUUGAUCAACUGGCUAGCCAACUAGAGGCUUGCUAGGGACGGUGUUUUGUCUAUGUAUCCACACAUGUAAAUGAGUCUUCAUUCAAUACAAUUAUAGCAUGGAUAAUAAACGAUUAUCUUGAUACAGGAAUUAUAAUAAUAAAUAUAUUUAUUAUUGCCUCUAGGGCAUAAUUCCAACANNNNNNNNNNNNNNNNNNNNNNNNNNNNNNNNNNNNNNNNNNNNNNNNNNNNNNNNNNNNNNNNNNNNNNNNNNNNNNNNNNNNNNNNNNNNNNNNNNNNGCAUGCAAGCUUGGUAGCCGCGGCCUCCCCCUGGCCGCGGCUACAGGGUUUGUGGGCACCUCGUGUGCCACCCGGACUCCGUUUUCUUGCGGAGCACUCCUUCUGGUCCAGAAAAAAUCAUUAUAUAUAUGCCCGAGGGUUUCUAUCUCCGUAUCACGCAGUUUUCCUCUGUUUUUCCUUUCGAGCCUGUUUUGUGCCGCAGAUCUAGGUCAAGAUGUCUUCUCAGGAUUUAGAGGGGGAGAGCUAUGUGGCUGAUUACCUUGCUGACCCCAAGGUCUAUGGGGACUUGGAACCAUAUGGCUGGACCACUGAUGAGGAAGAGGACUAUGAUCCCAAGGGGAAGGAACAAACGAGUUCCGAUGAAGAGGAGGCUCCUCUACCUCAACCUGGACGCACUCAUGUGGAGUUCAAGAAGUCAAGCCUCCCUGACUCAAGGAAGAAGCCUAAGAACUUGUUUAUCCCUUCUCGUUUCUUGCAGGAGAGUAAGCAGUAACUUUGUCAAAGGGUGUUGAAGCUUGAGGAGGAAAAUGAUGAUCUGAGAGAGCAGAAUUUCAUGCUCAAGUGGAAAUUAGACAAGCUCAAGACCUCUGCAACAACUCCUCCGCCACCACCAAAGGAGGACAACUGAGCAUUGGUAUGGGCAAUCCCCUUGGCUUGUGCCAAGCUUGGGGGAGUUGCCCUGGUAUCGUAUCACCUUUAUAUCUUUUGCUUUUACCUUUGUUUUAGUUCUUUCUUUUUCAGUUUUUACUUUCUUCUCUUAGUGGGAUAAGUCUUUAGUGUUUAGUUUGAGUCUUUUGCCUUGUGUCUCCCCCGAUGUAUUCGAGCUUGCGAGCUAUAUAAUAAAGAGUAUCUUAGUCAAGGGCUUUGUUUGUGUCGUGAUCAAAAGUAUGAAAAUAACGAUAGCAUGAAAGAUCAUGAGAUGAUCUUAUGGAAAGUGAUAGCUUCACAUAUAACAAGUAUGAUGAUUGAAACUUGUUGAGAAUAUACCAACAUAGACCCCAGUCAUUGUUGCAAUUAAUAAGAAGUAAUAAGGAAAGAGAGUUUCACAUAUAAAUAUAUCUUCUUAGACACUUUUUUACAAUUGUGAGCACUCAUCAAACUAUUACAUGCUUAGAAGUAGAUGUUGGACAAGGAAGGCAACAAGAUGAAUUGUGUUUGCUUGAUUCCAAACAAUGUUAUAUGAUUAGAGAUCCCUUAGCAGGUGACGAUUGCUUUCACCUCAUAUUAGCCAAAACUCCCGCACCCAGUAGAGAUACUACUUGUGCAUCCAUAAACCUUCAACCCAGUUUUGCCAUGAGUGUCCACCAUACCUACCAAUGGAUUGAAUCAGAUCCCUCAAGUAAGUUGUCAUCGGUGCAAGCAAUAAAAAUUGCUCUCUAAUAUGUAUGAUCUAUUAGUGUGUGGAAAAUAAGCUUUAUAUGAACCUGUGAUGAGGAAGACAUAAAAGCAACAGACUGCAUAAUAAAGUUCUUUAUCAGAGGAGGCAAUAUAAAGUGACGUUCCUCCGCACUAAGAGGACACGCAUCCAAACCUCAAAAGUGCAUGGCAACCUCUGCUUCCCUCUGCGAAGGGCCUAUCUUCUACCUUUACCUUUUGUCCUUGUGAAAGUCAUGGUGAUCAACACCAAUUCCCUUUUCCUUCUUUAUCUUGGUGAACGUCAUAUGCUAGGGAAAGAUCUAUAUUCUUAUAUCAACUUGGAGAUGAGUACUUAUGCUUUAUUAUUGUUGACUUUACCCUUGAGGUAAAUGGUUGGGAGGCAAAAUUAUAAGCACUAUCUUUCUCUGUGUCCAACUGAAACUUUGAUACCAUGAGUACCACGUGAGUUGUAACAAUUGUGGAAAACGAAAAAGAUGAUUGAGUAUGUGGAUUUGCUUUACAAGCUCUUAUUUCACUCUUUCUGAUGUUAUGAUAAAUUGCAAUUGCUUCAAUGACUAUGGACUGUUGUUGGCUACUUCUCGGUAAGGUUUUUGAUUCAUACUUUGCUUUGUGAAGGAAUUGUUACUUUCCCAUAAGAAUCUUUAUGAUGUAUUGCUGUUCUAUGUGUGAUCAUGAUGCCCUCAUGUCCUUAUUAUGUUUUAUCGACACCUUCAUCCCUAAACAUGUGGACAUGUUUAUGGAUCUUGGUUUUCGCUUGAGGACAAGCGAGGACUAAGCUUGGGGGAGUUGAUACGUCCAUUUUGCAUCAUGCUUUCAUGUUGAUAUGUAUCACUUUAUGGACUGUUAUUAUACUUUGUGGUACCAUACUUAUGCCUUUUCUCUCUUAUUUUGCAAGGUUUAUUUGAAGAGGGAGAAUACCGGCAGCUGGAAUUCUGGACUGGAAAAGGAGCAAGUCUGAGUCCUCUAUUCUGCGCAACUCCAAAUGCCCUGAAAAUCAACGUGGAAUUUAUUGGGAUUAUAUAAAAAAUAUUGGGCGAAAGAAGUGCCAGAGGGGAGUUGCCACGGGCCCACAAGCCUGGUAGCCGCGACCUGCCCCCCUGGCCGCGGCUACAGGGCUUGUGGGCACCCUGGUGGCCCACUGGCCCCCCUCUUCUGCUAUAUGAAGGGUUUCGUCCGGAAAAAAAAUCAGGGCGGAGCUUUUUCGUGGAUUCUCCGCCGCCACGAGGCGGAACUUGAGCAGAACCAAUCUAGAGCUCCGGCAGGACGAUCCUGUCGGGGAAACUUCCCUCCCGAAGGGGGAAAUCAUCGCCAUCGUCACCACCAACACUCCUCUCAUUGGAGGGGACUCGUCACCAUUAACAUCUUCAUCAGCACCAUCUCAUCUCCAAACCCUAGUUCAUCACUUGUAACCAAUCUCCGUCUCGCGACUCCGAUUGGUACUUGUAAGGUUGCUAGUAGUGUUGAUUACUCUUUGUAGUUGAUGCUAGUUGGAUUACUUGGUGGAAGAGUUUAUGUUCAGAUCCUUGAGACUACUCAUUACCUCUCUGAUCAUGAUUAUGAUUAUGUUUUGUGAGUAGUUACUUUUGUUCCUGAGGACAUGGGAUAAGUCAUGCUAAUAGUAGUCAUGUGAAUUUGGUAUUCGUUCGAUAUUUUGAUGUGUUGUAUGUUGUUUUUCCUCUAGUGGUGUUAUGUGAACGUCGAAUACAUAACACUUCACCAUUAUUUGGGCCUAGAGGAAGGCAUUGGGGAGUAGUAAGUAGAUGAUGGGUUGCUAGAGUGACAGAAGCUUAAACCCCAGUCUAUGCGUUGCUUCGUAAGGGGCUGAUUUGGAUCCACUAGUUUAAUGCUAUGGUUAGACGUUGUCUUAAUUCUUCUUUCAUAGUCGUGGAUGCUUGCGAGAGGGGUUAAUCAUAAGUGGGAUGCUUGUCCAAGUAAGGGCAGUACCCAAGCGACGGUCCACCCACAUAUCAAACUAUCAAAGUAACGAACGCGAAUCAUAUGAACAUGAUGAAACUAGCAUGACAGAAAUUCCCGUGUGUCCUCGGGAGCGUUUUUCCUCCUAUAAGACUUUGUUCAGGCUUGUCCCUUGCUACAAAAGGGUUUGGGCCACUUCGCUGCACCGUUGCUAUUACUUGUUACUUGUUACUUUUCACCUGCUAUGUUUCACCUCACUACACCAUCACUUGUUAGCGCUACUUUCAGUGCUUGCAGUUAUUACCUUGCUGAAAACCGUUUAUCAGAGCCUUCUGCUCCUCGUUGGGUUCGACACUCUUACUUAUCGGAAGGACUACGAUUGAUCCCCUAUACUUGUGGGUCAUCAGGAUGAUCGAGCAUAGCCAGACAAUAUGAUUUUGUAGGGAUAACUUUCUUUGGCCUUGUAAUUUCGAAAGUUCAUGAUCACUUUGCUAGUUUGCUUGAAGUAUUUUUUUUUCAUGUCAAUAGUAAACUGUUGUUUUGAAUCUUACGGAUCUGAACAUUCAUGUCACAAGGAAGAAGUUACAAAGGACAAAUAUGUUAGGUAGCAUUCCACAUCAAAAAUUCAGUCUUUAUCACUUCCCUACUCGAGGACGGGCAGGAGUUAAGCUUGGGGAUGCUUGAUACGUAUCCAACGUAUCUAUAAUUUUUGAUGGUUCCAUGCUAUUAUCUUGUCAAGUUUGGAUGUUUUGUAUGCAUGAAUAUGCUAUUUUAUAUCUUUUUGGGACUAACCUAUUAACUCAGUGCCAAGUGCCAGUUCCUGUUUUUCCCGUGUUUUGACCCUUUUCAGAGGAGAAUAUCAAACAGAGUCCAAAUGGAAUAAAAUCUUCAGAAUGAUUUUAUCCGUAAUAGAAGAUACGCAGGGAACUUGAGAACAAAGGCAAAGGACCCCGGGGGAGGCCACAAGCCCCCUAGCCGCGACCGGGGGGGGGGGCGCCUACCAGGCUUGUGGGCCCCCCGUGGCUCCUUUGCCCUACUUCUUCCGCCUGUAAAUUCCCUAAAAAACCAAAACUGCCAGAGAGAGCCACGAAAAUACUUUUCCGUUGCCGCAAGCUUCUAUCUCCGUAAGAUCCCAUUUGGGGACCGUUCUGGUUCCCUGCCGGAGGGUGGAUUCGGACACGGAGGGCUUCUUCAUCAACACCAUUACCUCUCCGAUGAUGCGUGAGUAGUUCACCACAGACCUUUGGGUCCAUAGCUAGUAGCUAGAUGGCUUCUUCUCUCUCUUGGAUCUUCAAUACAAAGUUCUCCAUGAUCUUCAUGGAGAUCUAUCCGAUGUAAUCUUCUUUUGCGGUGUGUUUGUCGAUAUCCGAUGAAUUGUGGAUUUAUGAUCAGAUUAUCUAUGAAUAUUAUUUGAGUUUCCUCUGAUCUCAUAUAUGCAUGAUUUCGUAUCCUUGUAAUUCUCUUCGAGUUGUGGGUUUCGUUUGGCCAACUUGAUCUAUAAUUCUUGCAAUGGGAGAAGUGCUUGGUUUUGGGUUCAUACCGUGCGGUGUCCUCACCCAGUGACAGAAGGGGUAGCGAGGCACGCAUCAUGUUGUUGCCAUCAAGGGCAAAAAGAUGGGGUUUAUAUCUAUUGCAUGAAUUUAUCCCUCUACAUCAUGUCAUCUUGCUUAAGGCGUUACUCUGUUUGUUAUGAACUCAAUACACUAUAUGCAUGCUGGAUAGCGGUCGAUGUGUGGAGUAAUAGUAGUAGAUGCAGAAAGUAUCGGUCUACUUAUCUCGGACGUGAUUCCUAUAUGUAUGAUCAUUGCCUUAGAUAUCAUCAUGACUUUGCGCGGUUCUAUCAAUUGCUCGACAGUAAUUCGUUCACCCACCAUAAUAUUUGCUAUCAUGAGAGAAGCCUCUAGUGGACACUAUGGGCCCCGGGUCUACUUCACAUCAUAUUUUCAGCUCUACACUUUUACUUUGUUGCACUUUCCACCUUCAUAUCUCACCUUGCAAUUAAUCGUGAAGGGAUUGACAACCCCUUUAUAGCGUUGGGUGCAAGUUUGCUUGUUUUUGCGCAGGUACAUUGGUGACUUGCCUUAAUACUCCUACUGGAUUGAUACCUUGGUUCUCAAACUGAGGGAAAUACUUACUGCUACUGUGCUGCAUCACCCUUUCCUCUUCAAGGGAAAACCAACGCAAGCUCAAGAGGUAGCAAGAAGCCACAAGUAUGAUGCAACUGUCUCGUCCGACACUAGACCGACCCCAAACAAAACUAUGUUGCGGUGAUGGUUCAGGCCGACGAAUGGAACAAACAGAAGCCUAUACUUGUUAGAACGAUAUGUACUGUCGAACACCACGACACCACCAGAGACAACAUAGUCAAUACGGGAUUGUGGAUCAGCCCAGAAUAUGUUCCUCAAAUGGCCUUCGCUGUCUUUUGUGUAUUUGAAAAAGAAUUUUGGGUCUGAUUUUUUCAGUGCAAUCAUGUAGGUGAGCAAAUAUCUAGCAUUAUUGCCUUCUAUCUUGCGCUUCUUCUGGAUUGAAACAUGGUUCUAUAGGUCUCGAUCUAUAAAUCCAAGCUUGUCGGGACCUCCGGCAUUCUUCUCCAUUACAUUCAUAAUCUGAUGUGUUUGAAGUCCACCGACAGCAUACUCGAUGACAUCGGCCUUUUGUUCGUCAGUCAUUCUACGAUGAGACGAUAAGUAGGGAGUCAGGUCAGCAGGGACAAACAGAUGGUUAUGCUUGUCCACAAAAUUCUUGACGAACCAUAAGCCACUGCUAUCUUGUAGCUCAACCGGAAAAAGAGCGGGACACCCACACCGAGAAAGACCCCUCGGUGUUCUUUUUUUUCAGCUCUUUUAAAGUGCUUAAGGGUCUGCCAUCCUUGUUUGCAGCACUUGUGUGUCCUUCUGUAUGCAUUUUGUUUCGGACCCGGACCCCUGUACUUCAGAUCAUCCUUUCUAACACCAAACCCUUUUUUCUGGCAUAGCCUACGUAAAACAUGUAGGCUUCUACCUCAGUCCCGAAAGUCUUAUUUGCAAUCUCUAAGUAUUCCAUAUACUCAUUCACGUCUGAACCAACCAUGCCUUUAUUAUCAAUUUCUUUACCUUGCAAGUGUACAUCAUCCAUGUCUAUGCCAUCCUUGCAUGCAUACUCAUCUUUAUCAUCCAUUCAUGUACCAUCCAUUCCUUUGGGGUCCAUGGCUACGAAAUCAUUAUCCUUAUCAUCCAUGCAUUUGCCUUCGCUUCCUCUCUCACCCAUGUCCUUGUCAUCCUUGCGUGUAUCCCCCAAAUUUUCGCCAUCGUUGUCUUUAUCAUCCAUGUCGUUAUGCUGCCAACGAAAACAUAUAGUCAAUGUUAUAGAUGGAUAGCAUAAGUAAUAAUUAUGCACUACUCUCCUUAAAUAAUUGAUUUAAGUUUUCAUAUCGGAUUCAUGUAUCUAACCAAGUCCUUCAAAAUCUGUAAGUAAGUAUAAAAUAUGCCCUGACUGAAUCCAUAAAUAUUUAAUUGAUUGUACUUGCUGUAACUGAUGAUCUCCUAACUAAAUCCAAAGUCCACAAAUCCUUCAAGUCCCCUGAUAGAUCCACCCUGAUUGAUCAAUUAUCUCCAAACUCCAUUCAAAUUUUUCUCCUAACUAAAUCCAAAAUUAUGACCUAAGUAAAUCCAAAUUAUCUCCUAACUAAAUCCAAAAUAACUCCAAACUCCCUACAAAAAUAUUUGUCUCCUAACUAAAUCCAAAAUAUCUCGCAACUCAAUUCAAAAGUAUCUCCUAACUAAAUCCAAAAUAACUCCAAACUCCCUACAAAAAUAAUUAUCUCCUAACUAAAUCCAAAAUAUCUCGAAACUCAAUUCAAAAGUAUCUCCUAACUAAAUUCAAAAUAACUUUCUUUGAAUCCAAAUCUGCUGACAACUUUCUCAUGCCACAUAACCCUAACUAACUCCAUCAAUAUGUCCUAUGCAGAAGGGACGAGACAAGAUGAGAGAUUGCAGCGGCACUUACAUCUCAGAGGUGGUUGCGAAGAUCCGACGGGAUGGACAGCGAUGACGAUGAUCUGGCCUCGCGUCAGGGAAGGGGCGUCCAAUCGGGGACGGAGGGGAUUAGGCUGCUCGUCGGAAGAUCUGGCGCCACAUAACCCGAGGGGGAUCGCCUCCGAGCGAGGGGGUGGAGGAGGAGAAGGAGAAGGAGGGACUGGUGCGAGGGAGGGGGUGAAGGGGGAGAAGGAGGAGGAGGGAGUGGCAUGACGUGAUAGGGUUCAAGAGGAGCUGACGAACCACUCUGACGCAAUUCAAGUGUUAUGUUAAUGCAAUUAUUAAUUUGAAAUUUUAGGACAAAAAUGCCCCUAGACUUAAUUGGGCCACCCUAAACUUUAAUAUUCUUAGGUCGAAAAUGCUCUUGGGCUUUAAUAAGGCCCAAUUGAUAUCAUCUGUUGGAUCGCUUAUAUAAUACACGUGUUGUCGUAUAUUAUAAUGUGCCGUAAAAUCUCCCUCUUAAUUAAUUUUUUUUGGGACAAACAAGCAGGCGAUGAAUGUCGAAUAGCCAUAUGGUAAUGUACGCCGGACGAAGACAGAAGAAGAUGGACAAAAGACAUUGUGGUUAUGAUGCGAAACACCAUGAUCAUCGAACAAUCUGUAUGUUGGCCUCCAUUUAACUUAAUUUAAACUGGACUCGGCACGUACCGACAAACCUUAUAUCAGUAUACUACAACCACAUUUAAACUGGACUCGGAACAUGCCCAUAACUUAAUUUAAACUUGAUAUAUUACUAGAAAUAGUUAAGAAUUAAAUGAGUUCUAAAAUUGUGUGAGUAGAGAUAAGAUCAAUUGUGGUAGAUGCAAUAUUUUACUUGAUGUUCUUGUUUUCUUUCCAUGGGUGUUGCUUCAUUUCAGUUCAUUUGCGGCAUGAUUUGACAAUCGAUUGGCUCUGGCUAUCAAUGAUUGGCAAAAAAUUCUUUGGACUACAUCUUAGUCAAGAAUAGUGAACCGUCGCAAACACGAGAGGGCAUAAAGAUAUUUGAUCUUCAUAUGGGUCACGCGUAUUGACGAAUUUUAGUGUGGGCUAGAGACUUUUAGUUAAGUCUCUUCCCUCACCCCCAAUAAGAAAGUUAAUCUAGCAACAAGGAUAAUCAUACUUGAUUAUGGACGCAGGUAGCUAGUGUUCUCCGAAACCCUAGAAGCCACGUAAUUUAAAUCUGCCAAACAGAUUAGAGGACGCCUAACUUGAUUUUGCGGGAUACAUGUCAUGUUGUAUAAUCUUCGUCAUGAUAAUGAGUUUAUGUAUGAGAUGGCUACAUAAUGUAGCAUUAGAUGACAUACACGUCAUAAUACGAAAUGAUGGUUGGGGCCAAGGGAUUUUCACUUUAAUUACGAGUGUGUCAACUUUGUUAUUUUAUUUUUAUCGACUGGAGUGAUGGACGUGCUACGGAGGAGCCCAGAGUAAGGUGGCUUUACUAGGCGCAAGAGAUCAUGGUGGUGGCUACGACAUCACUCUAGAGUAGUUCAUGAAGACCUUGGAGGAUCAUGACCACAUCCCCGACGCCAAGGGCUAUAUUAUAUCAUUGUAUUAUGAAUAGACUGAUAUGUUUAUCCCAUUGUUGUUUGCACCCUUUGAUUGUGCGGUAGUCAAUUAUUAGGGUGACCUCACACUAGAAAGCAUCAAGUUGUUAGUGCUCUUCCUAGUGUAGCAACCAUCUAUAACACGUAGCUUUUCGUGGUACGUCAUGUCCACAUGAGUACUUUGGAUCGCGGGUGUAAGGCGGGUGAAGGCAUGGCAGAAACACUUAGUUGUCUUGAAGUUCUAGUAAAAUCAUUGUGCACAAAGCAUCGAAAAACAAACAAGAGUCACAUGGAGAUAUGAUCGGCAAAAUUUGCCUACCUCUUGAAGUUCACGUCAUCAGUGAUGCCCACAUCAAUGGUUGUGAAUAAUAUUAGGGUCUUGAAUCACUUAAAUCAAUUAUGAGAGAUAUUGGUUUGAGUGAGAGCACAAUUAUGAAUUAAUUAAGUUUAAUCAUAAGUGCAUAUAAUUAUGGGUUAACUUAAGCGAAAUUAGAAGGACACAUCUUAAAGCGAAACUAUCGGUUAACUUCUUCUUGAGCUAGCUCCUUUCUCCUUGUUGUUUUUUCUCCCUUGAUAUUUCCCUAUGAUAUUUCAAUACAAGGUCAAUUUUGGUACCAGUGUAAUAGAAAAUAGAGUGUAUUGGAAAAAAUAGCGGAAAUAAUUUCAUCACCUAGGGAUAUUUUAGUAGCUCUUAAAAUAGAACAUUAGAAGGAUAAUUAUUUAUUAUGUGUAUGAGAUAGGAAAAUUUACCAUAUGGCAGGUGUAUAGUCUAUAUUUCCUAAUUUUGCAUCUUCCUUCAUUGACUCACUGGUGAGGCGUGCAUGAUUGUGUCUUUCAGCCCCAUCUUAAUUCAUCCUAUUGCGUCAGAUAUCCAGGGACCAUCGUGUAUGUAGUGUGUCAUCCUGAAGGAAGGGAUUACAAAUUUAGAGCAAGUUCUGAAAAGUGACGGUGUAUAAUUGUAAUACUUAAAAUAAACAAAUGCAUGUUCUAACAUGCCGAAAGAAGGCACUAAAAAGUAUAUAGUUCUUCCUUUGUGUUUCCGUAGCCAAGUUUAGCCCAAGGUUCAAAAAAAAUAUAACGCAAUUCACUACGACAAUAGAAGAAAUGUUGAAGAGUACAAUUACAACUCUAAAAUUGAACCUAUUCAUAAGCAUGUGACAAUUGUAGGCUCAUAAGAGAAAUAAUAGAUGAGAAGAACAACCAAGUCAAAUUUAGGUAGAUUUUAAAACUAGGUAAAUAGGAACUUGCAAUGUAAUAUAAAAAUUGCAGACAAUGAUGAAGAUGAAGGAACCUUAUUGAUCAAAGAAGACAUUUAGGAUCAAAUGCAACUUGACACCAUGCAUGAUGAAGCAUUAGGUGAAAGCGGCGCAUUUUUCGGAUAAUCCAUGUUGCAUUCCAAUAGUUACAAAACAUAAAUAGUGAUGCCAAAUUGGGAUGAAAAAUGAGAAAAAGAAAUAGUUGUGAGAGGUCUUUGUAUUUGCACUUCACGUACUACCUUCGUACUUGUGUAAACUGGUCAUCUUUAAACAUGAUCAACUCCCAACACUGUAUGACCAAUCAUGCCAACUGCAUUGCAACUUGUUCUCGUGUCUCCUCUUACUUCACAUUUCACUUACUCCCUCCAUCUCGGUUUAUAAGUCUUCCUAGGUUGUGCACCGUAACCAAGACGGAAAGUAAAACAAGAGAAAUUAAUGUUAACUUGCUAAUUAAUACGAUUGCAUGCAAUGAAUUGACUAAUGCAUGUCGUGCUAGUUAGUAUCAAGUCAUUAAAAACACACAUGUCCCCCGUCUCUUAUUGGUUGAUUUUUUUAUUCAAGUCAAAAAAACAAACGAGGUGAAAGUUAAUGUAUUGUGCCUUAGUGUUUUGGGAUUAUUUGAUUUUCGUAAGAUAACUUAUAAAUCGAGAUGGAGGAAGUACUAAAUUUAUCAAGCAUGGAAUUUAUGUUAUGUAAUGAGCAUUUUUAUAGUCAGAAAAAGAUUUUUUAGUCAAACAUACGAAUGGUAGACUUUUGGUGCACCUUUAAAGAUCAUUAAUGCGAAAUACCAUAGGAAUUCGGUCUUUUAUGGUCUUUUGUGUUAGUUUUCGGUCACACAAAGAGAUCGUUGUAAUGUCCUCCUCCUUCUGGUGCACUGGCAUUUGGUCUGGCGUCUGCCGAAACCGACUUAUCCAUGGACUUGUUUUAUGGGCACGGAAGAAACACAAAAGGUUGAUUUUUUUUUUCUAGUUUAAAAGAAAAGGUUGAUUUUUUCCUUUUUAUAGAACUUCAUUCAACACAAAAUAGCAAGCUGUUUUGAUGCACCUUUCCGUUCGUAAAGGAUGACGAGGCAUCAAUCAUCUCAUUUUUUCCAGCUUUAAAUAAACUAUGAAGAUCGGCUGGGCUAGCAAAUCCACUAGCAUGGGCACCGACCACUAAUAAUGGGCCAAAGCAUUUGUCUAAGUUUAUACUUCCUCCAUCCCUUUAUACAAGGCCAUCAUGAAAGAUAUAUUUUACAUACAUCUAUAUAAAGCUACUAACAGUUAGUAAGGCAAAAAUUAAUGUUGUUCUCUUGUAGUAACAACUUACUCCCUCCAUUCCUUUAUGAACUAACAGUUAGUAAGGUAAAAAUUAAUGUUGUUCUCUUGUAGUAACAACUUACUCUCUUCAUUUCUUUAUGAAAGGUCUAUUAUUUUCGCGCAUAAUUAUACAUGUUAAGACAAAAUUAACCUUGGCUAAAUCAUUGAUUAGAGGCAAUAAAAUUAUUUAGGCUAGAAAAGUAAGAGAUACACAUGAGAGAUUCUUUCCUUCUUCUCUUUAUAAUAAGAGAUGCAUGCAAUCAGAGGAGAGAUAUUUCUUUUUUUAAGGGCUAAUGAUGGAAUUACAAAGAAUUAGAAGAAAUGCACCUUACAUUGUGAAAUUUUAUCAAAAAACAAAUACACCUUAUAAAGGUUCCUUUAUGAAAGGUGUAUUAUUUUCGCGCAUAAUUAUACAUGUUAAGAUAAAAUUAACCUUGGCUAAAUCAUUGAUUAGAGGCAAUAAAAUUAUUUAGGCUAGGAAAGUAAGAGAUACACAUGAGAGAGAUUCUUUCCUUCUUCUCUUUAUAAUAAGAGGUGCAUGCAAUCAGAGGAGAGAUUUCUUUUUUUAAGGGCUAAUGAUGAAAUUACAAAGAAUUAGAAGAAAUGCACCUUACAUGUGAAAUUUUAUAAAAAAAUAAAUACACCUUAUAAAAAGGAACAGAGGGAGUAUUUAAUAAGUACUACAUGUAGUCAUAAUGACACAUAGUUUUUUUCCUUCUCAUUCCUUUCUUGAAUAAUGGUCCUGGUUAAUGAAAAAGAAAAUUUGAUUUACAAAACAGUCAUUAAUUUUUACCUUGUUAAAUAUGAGUUUGUGGCUUUUAUAGAGGAAUGGAGGGAGUAGCGGAUAUUUUGUCUGUUGGUGUGGCAAUGCGACGUAAUCCGUAAAUGCUAAAAUGCCGGCCUACCAACUACCCCUCCGGGAUAAAGAUUUCGAUGGUCCCAGUGGCUGCUUAUGGUGUGCCGCGUGCCCCGUGUGUCCCUCGUUGAAACGGGCCGGUGAUCUAACACUGAAGCAGCAGCAAUUAGCACAGAGCAUACAAGGCAUCAGAUUUGAGCAAGACGACUAUAUUACCGAAGAGCAAUACAAGAUACAGUGGUCAGUGGACACUGUGACACUACUGAGCCCAGUGGGGUACCAGCCACAGCACACUUCCGACUUAACCUGACGCGACUCACCGUAGAGUACCAACUGACUACCAGCUACGAUUCUACGAAGCACACAUGACCAUACUACGUACGAUCGCCUACGUGCGCCUGAACUACUACAUUAUUCGGUGCAUGGACACUAGGGUAAACCAACGGCCGACCUAAGCAGAGUCGUCUUGCUUGCUAGGCUACGUACGCACUGGUCGAUUCAUCAUCUAGGACUUAGUCUUGAACUUGGACUCG
rnacentral:lncRNA from 1 species